UUUUUUUUUUUUUUUUUUUUCCGGAAACGUUAGAAAUAGACGGAAAUUACUAUAGUAGCUUUUGUCAACGGAAAAUAAUCCAAUAUCCGGUGCAGCUGAAGCCCACCGACUUCGAUGCUCCCUCAGUCUCCACCUCAUCCCGUCAUCAUCCUCUUCAACGUUGAACGAGUUUAAAAAAUUCAACAGCUCCACAGCAGGACAAACAUUCACAGAUAAAUAUAAAACAGGACAGAAGUCUCAAAAAGAAAAGAAUUUUCUAGAGGGAGAGAGAGAGAGAGUGUGUGUUUGAAGUCAGCUCCAGAGAAAACUGUAAUUGAUGCCUACAGUUUUCUGCAUAUAUUUAAAGCUUCCGAAAAAACAUUUUGCUAUGCUGCAUAAAAUUUUCGAUAUGUUUUCGUUUCGGUCGUAAGGAAGUGAAGACUUGAGGGUUGUGAGAGUUUUUGCGAGGCGGAAUGGCCGCGCAGGGAGGAGAGGGAGGUGGAGGUGGAGUGGCGGUGGUGUUGUGUGGCGGAGCGGUUAGCAAUGCGUUGGACUCGCUGUCUCCAGCUCCGGCGCCCGAUGAUGGAGGAACUGUGGAGGAAAAUUCUGAGCAGAAUUCGAAUUCACCGAUCCUGUUUUUUCUAUUUUUUCAUAAGGCAAUUAGGUUGGAGCUGGACUGUCUGCACCGCUCGGCGUUGGCGUUUGCGACUGGGAAAUUGGUUGAUAUACAGUCGCUGGUGGAGCGGUACCAUUUUCUUAGGUCAAUUUAUAAGCAUCACUCGAAUGCUGAAGAUGAGGUAUGUAGCUUAAUUUCAUUUGCCUCUUUUUUUGGCUCUCUUUUAGCUGCUAAAUUCAUAAAGACUACUGCUUUGAAUUCAUUUCUUACUUCUGAAUUGGUUGUCUAGCGACGGAGUUUUGUUUAUACGUGGAAGUACAAGAGCAACGAUUAUAUGCAUGGGUGGAAGUAUCCAAGUUUUUUUCAUCGGAUUUUGUGUGUGGUUUUCGAAAUUUGUAUAUAAAUGUUAGUUCUGUAAGAUACUGAUACCCGUGCAUGUGUUUAUGGCUGGGUCACCUGAUUAGAAGAUUUGUCAGUAUACGGAAUUUGUUGAAUAUAUAUUUCAGAGUGGUAUUUCCCAUUUCAGUCGGGUGCGUGUUCAAUAUGUAUGUGAUCACCUGGAUUUGCAGCUAAAGUUUGUCUCUUUAGAUGAGAUUUUGUGAAGUUUUCUGAAUGUGGUUAUUGAAAAUUGUGUUUGAACGUCGAUAAUAUAGAUACCUAAAUGCGUGCUGUAUGCAUCUACGGAUCAUGUGAUCAGAAUAUUUUGCCAUUGUACAUUUUAGUCAUGGACAUGUAGAUUUACAUUUGGUAUUGGAGUUUCCUCUUUGGUUUUGUUUAGUUUGUUUGCAGAAACUCGUAUUCGCACUUGAAAUUUUCAUGCAACAUCAUUUUAUUUCAAGCUAAAUGCAUUUAAUGGAGUGGACAUUGUUGUUUGCAGAUAAAUGAUGUUGUUUGACAUUUUUGGGUUUCAGUUUUAAAUUGUGUUUUGCUAGUUCAGCGUAAAUUAUUGAUUGUUUUAAUUUUAUGUGGUUUUGGGAAAUAAAGGCAUUAUGGAUCGGGCAGCAAAAUAUCGAUUGCGAAAGGAACAUUUUGUGUGUUGUAAAUUAUUCAAGUUUUAUGAUUGCCUGUGUUUUAGCUGUUAAAAUGUUUUCCUGGAGCUGCAUUUACUAUGUCGGUCUAGUGAUAUGUCGGACACUUGCAAUAAAUGAGAAAAAAGUAUAGCCACAAGAGACACCAACAUCAGUAUCUGAUUUAUCUUCUUAUUCUUCUUCUUCUUUUUUUCUGUGUUUAUUGUGAUUCUAGUAUUUGGAAGCCAAUGUAAAAUGGUUAAAUCUAAUAUCUUUUUCAGCAAUAUUAAUGGAAAUACUAAUGUUGAAAGUUUGUUGAUUUCUCUCCAAAGCAUCUCAAUUAAUGGAGAUAGCGAUUAACAUUUAAAGGAAAGCUAUUGAUAUCUUGAAGGCUGUAAAAUUGCAGUUGCUAGGGAUUCACUUUGAAGGAGAGGAAAAACAUCAUUUUCCUUGCUCUCCCCUUUCCUUAAUCUCUCUUCCUUGUACGGUAGAUACCAAGAUGGUCUCACAAUUAUGGUCCCACGUGUUGAGACUUGAGAGGCUGUGGAGCUUCUCCAUUUAUUUGUUAGCAUUUAGACCCAGAUGUACAUUUACUUUGGAGCAUGAGUACUACCUCUCCUUUUGUUUGAGAUAAACCAUUCAAUGAUGAUGAAUGGAGAUUCUUCUUGGAGUUUAGUGUGAAGUAGGACAUAAAGGUAUAUUGUAGCAGCUACACAUUGCAUGACUUUACUCGAGUGACUAGAAGAAAGUGCAGGUGCCAAAAAGUGUUUUUGUGUUGCUGAGUCUUCGGCAUCUGAUUCUGCAAAAGGUGUUUGUUUCCCUUUAGCCUUUGGAAUUUAUUUUGAAGGAGCUAGUAGCGUGUUAGGGAUAUGAUUAUACCAUAGUUUUCCUCUUCUGACGGGCUCUAAUCUAGUAAUGAGGAUCCACAUUGAAGUAGUUUCGAUCUCUUUUUGACUGACAAGAGAUAAGUAACGUCCAGCAUAUUGACACAGUCAAUAUCUCUCUUGAAGGAUAAGGCACAUGCCCUAUUACCUGCUCUGGUCACUUGAUUGUUCCUGAUUACUGUAAUGAUUGCGUAGCAAAACAAGUGUCAUUGAGAUUUAUUUUUUCUUGUUUUGAAGAAGGCAAAAGGAGUUCAGCUAAUACCCGGAAUGGUAAUAUCAAUGAACUUUGUGUUGAAACCUAGAGGUGCGUAAUGUGGAACUUUUAAAAUGUCUGUAGUUAAUGGAGGAUGUAGGUCUUGAAGGAAGAGAUUGAUUCUGGUUGGGUGGGCAGCAAACAUUUCUGGAACCACUGAAUGUUGUAAGCUAUAAAAUAACAUGAGCUUCUGAAUUUUCAGAAUUCUGUGUGGUAAUAGGUCUUUCAGUAGGAGAUACAUGGAAGAUUGUUGCUCUCAUAACAUUCGGUUUGGAUAGAAGUCUCUCCUUAUCAUAAAUCUGAUUAUUCACUUAUCUGCAUCUUUAUUUUAUCUUGUAUUGCUUAUCUAAUGUACUUAGUUUCAAAUUAUUUAGGACCCUCCAUAAUUUGAAGCUGAGGUUCUACCUUGUUUAGUUUCUUGACCUUGCCUUGCCCCUUCACUUAGUUUUAUGUUAUAUAUCCAGGAUACUGAUUAUGCACUUGGAAAGGGCGAAAAUGCAAAGAUUUUUUUCUUUGAAAAUGCAAGAUUGUAUCUCAAAAGGGUGAAACACAUUUACACAUGGUGGCCAACUUAGGCUACUUAUUCCUACUAUUUUAUUUGUUUUGUGGUUAUAAUUGAAAGAAUCACCUACAUUCAUUUAAUUGGCAAGAAGACUAUAGUACCCUCUGUAGAUGCCCUAUGUACACAAGCACAAAGUGAGAGCUUCCUUUUGGUAUUAUUCUGCCUGCAUUAAGGAAUCAAGCAUUCCAGUAUAUAAUGUACACAGAGCCUGUUCCUAUAAGAAUCUGACCUUUUAACAUCCAACUUUUGUGUUGACCACUUUCAGUGCAAGUAAAUUUGCUUGAUGUUACAUUUGAGGUUGCCUUUGUUACUGAUAACUAGUUUGAAGCAACAUAAGAAAGGAGCUUGUUCUUGAGCAAUCUCAGUUUUUGUGUUUUCGGAAACUAAUUGCUCAAAAUUUUGUCAUACCAGGUCAUUUUUCCAGCUCUUGAUAUACGUGUGAAGAAUGUAGCCCCAACAUACUCCCUGGAGCACAAAGGUGAAAGUGACCUUUUUGAUCACUUGUUUGAGCUGCUAAAUCCUAACAAACAGAAAAAUGAGAAUUUUGCAAGGGAGUUAGCAUCUUGCAGUGGAGCACUCCAAACAUCAAUUGGCCAGCAUAUGUCCAAGGAAGAGGAACAGGUAUUCAACAGCUAUUUCGAUGCUUUUCUUGAUCAGAAUGUUCUGGAGAUCUUUUGCAAAAAAAAAAAAAAAACACUUCUCAGAUUUUGUUGCUUGUUUGAAUUUCUCAGGAGUGUAUAACAUUUUCUUAAAUUGUCAGUUUAGAUAUCCUAAUGUUUUCAUUGGGUUUUUCAAAUCAGAAGGACAUGUAAUAGCUAUAUACCAGCUCCUUCUGGUUUUGUCAUUUAUCUAACUUGCAUAUUCUUUACCGCCAGCUUAACAUAAUUGGUAGCUUCUGGAUAAUUUGUUAUUCCUUUUGAUUAUUACUUUCCUUAUAUGCUUAAAGUCUGUGAUGCUCAUAUUUUCUUGCUUUUUCCUUUCUUCAACUGGAAUCUUGUUUUUGGUGCUUUGAACUCUAUAAGCAAACUCUAGUAACUAAUACGUAUAGUUGUCAAUAAUUUUCUUUGGAUAACUUAAUUCUUCUGCCUGUUGAGGAACUUUUUUUUUUGUCCAGAGAGCAGAAUACUUACUUUGUGAGUUUUUCUGGCAUCCAUAUAGCUAUGGAGAAUCUCUUAAUGAUCCGAAGCCUUAUAUCCUUUUGAGAAUUUUCACCAGUAAAGCCUCCAAAUUGAAUUCCUUAAGAACAAGCUGCGUGGUUCAGCAAUUUCUGAAACUUUUUCCCGCGAGAUGGGAAAGUGCAAGAGUUAAUUUAUUCAUGUCCGCCAUAAAUGUGCUUCAUAUGCCGUGGGAUGGCUGCCUAAUCACUUGUAUGUAAAACAUCAUGUGCUUUACAGAGGACCAUGACAUCUGUCAUUACCCAAGAAGUUGCAAUGCUGUAUAUUUAACUCUUUUUUACUCAACAUCAAUCUGAUUACGUCUUUGGAUGGUAAUGGGGUCAAAUCUUAUUUCAUUUUGUGUCAAUCUGUAAAUUGCCAUUGGUCAGAAAAUUAGUGGAAUUUUGGGUUUAAAAGCUCAGACUGUCAUGCUUCCAUAAUCGCAGAUGCAAAUGGACCAUCUCUGGGUGAUGGAAAAUUGUCAAUUUUAUUCAAUUGUGUUCCUUUUGCUUAUGUGGAGUACUGUUCCGACUUGAGCUUGUCAUUUGGUGAUUUAUAACUGGAGAUUUGUUUUCUGUUAUUUGAAUUAUUCAUCACCUUGCAUCUGGCAUUUUUGAUUGGUUGUUGAAUUUUGAAUUUCAAGAACACCAGCUUUUGGGCUUGAUAUGUUGGGGCUUGACUUAGAGUAUUAUUCCAUACAGGUCUUUCCUCUGCUCAUAGAAAAGUUCUCAGUUGAAGAGCAGGCAUCCCUGGUUUGGCAGUUUUUGUGUAGCAUUCCAGUAGAUAAGCUGAAAGAAUUCCUUCCCUGGCUUUCCUUUUCUAUUUCACCUGAUGAGAAUGAGGAGAUGCAGAAGUGCUUGUGUAGGAUUAUUCCAAGGGAAAUACUCCUUCAACAGGUAGUCUCGUGUUCGAUAAGAGACAUAUGGUUAUAUUUGUUAAUUAAAUUCUGUGAACUCUCUCUUUCUCUUUCUCUCUCUCAAGUUUCCGUUGCCUUUAUGCUAGCAACUCUCUGGCUGAUGACUAAUCUUUGGUUGAAGGUAAUUUUCUCAUGGAUAAAACAUAGAGAACCCACCACUACUGUUACAAGCAAUAGUGUCAGCCCUCAGAUCCAACGCUCCUUAUAUUCUUGUGCUAGCAAAGCGAGUCACGAACAUUCGGGGGGAAAAAAGUGUGUAUGUAUACCUUCAAGGACUGGCAAAAGAAAACAUACAGUUGCUGUGAAUGAUGCAUCUGAUUUGGAUGGUGAUCAUCCGAUAAAUGAAAUAUUGCAUUGGCAUAAUGCUAUUAAACAAGAGCUAGAAGACAUUGCAGAUGAGGCUAGGAAAAUUGAGCUCUGUGGAGAUUUUUCUGAUCUGACAUCAUUCUAUGAAAGACUACAGUUUAUUGCUGAGGUUUGCAUCUUUCACAGGUAUUAAAGUUGUGCAUGAUUGCUUUUUCUUCUCAAUUUUACUGCAAAUAAGAUGCUGUCAGAUUAUGUUUGCACUCAUGAUGUCGAGUUCCAUAUGGAACAUAUCUUUUGUCGAUAACUCUUUAAGUUCCCAAAGAAAUUUCUGUCAUUAAAAUCAGAUUGCAUUUCUGUUUCUGACUUAGUAGUAAGGUUUUGUGUUAUAAAUUGCAGUGUUGCUGAGGACAAAGUAAUAUUCCCUGCUGUAGAUGGAGGAGUCUCCUUUUUCGAGGAGCAUGCUGAGGAAGAAAGCCAAUUUAAUGAGCUACGGUGCUUGAUUGAAAAUAUUCAGAAUUCAGGUGCCAAUUCAGCUUCAGCUGCUGACUUUUUCACCAAGCUAUGUUCCCAAGCUGAUUUAAUAAUUGAAACCAUCAAGAGACACUUCCAAAAUGAGGAAACAGAGGUACGCUCAUUCUUAGCAGUAGUCGGAUUUGCAAUGUAUGCUUUGAUAACAAGGUCAUGGAGCAGCAAAAUAAACUUGCAUAUGUGGAUGAAAAUCACCAGAGUUCGACUUGCAAAAAAUACGUUAGAUGUACUUUAUAUGUGAGGACUCAUGAUCUGAUCUAUUUGUGAAUUACAACUAACAUUCAAUACUUCAAGACUAAUUAGUAGGACAAAUUCAGAUUAUGUAGUUGUGAAUGGCUUUUAACUUCUGUCACUGAAUAUUUCCUUCAAGACUUGAAUGCUCAUUGAUUAUGCUUUUGGAAAAUAUUUAGGUUCUUCCUCUUGCUCGAAUGCAUUUUUCCUUCAAAAGACAGAGGGAUCUUUUGUACCAGAGCCUGAGUUUGAUGCCAUUAAAGUUGAUUGAGCGUGUCUUGCCAUGGUUGGUAGGAUAUUUGACUGAGGAUGAAGCAAGGAAUUUCCUGAAGAAUAUGCAAUUGGCAGGUAAUGCAUUUAUGUAUGAUUAAUUGUCUGGGUUUUAAUCCAAAAAGUUAUAGUCAUUUCUCUUCUAACUUGCAUGUAUUUGAUUGCACAGCACCACCACCUGAUGCUGCUUUGGUUACUCUAUACUCUGGUUGGGCAUGUAAAGGUCAACAUAAAGGCAUAUGCUUGUCCUCUAAUGUCACUGGCUGCUUGGUGAGACGAUAUACUAACCUUGAUAUAGAAGAGAACUACAUCCGAGGAUCCUGUCCAUGCACAAAUGUUUUUCAGAGUGAACGACCAGUAAAAAGAAAUCUCCCAAUUCCUAGUACAGAGGAGACUUUGUGUGGAAAUUCAGUAGAUGAAAACUCUCUUCAUUCAGCUGGUAAUGAACAGUCCUGUUGUGUUCCAGGGUUGGGAGUUAAUGGUAAUAAUUUGCGACUGAACACUAUUUCUACCCCAAAGUCUUUUUGUCCGCUGUCCUUCAGUUCUUCUGCACCUUCUCUUAACUCCAGCCUUUUUAUCUGGGAGACUGAUAAUAGCUCUCCUGGUGUUGACCGCAUCGUGCAUCCAAUUGAUACUAUAUUUAAGUUUCAUAAAGCAAUACUGAAAGAUUUGGAGUAUUUAGAUGUUGAAUCUGGUAAGCUUAGUUACUGUGACGUGACUACCCUUCAGCAGUUCGUUGGAAGGUUCCAACUACUUUGGGGUUUAUAUAGAGCACAUAGUAAUGCCGAGGAUGAAAUAGUGUUCCCAGCACUUGAAUCUAAAGAGGCCCUCCAUAAUGUAAGUCACUCCUAUACAUUAGACCAUAAGCAGGAGGAAGAAUUAUUUGAAGACAUAUCUUGCGUGCUGUGUGACCUAUCAGAACUUCAUGAAGGCAUGAAUAGAAAUAGUAAGAUUGAGGAUCUUAACCUGACUUCCUUAGAUAAUUCUGUCUACGGUGAGGAUUGCUGGAGAAAAUACACUGAGCUGGCAACAAAACUUCAAGGCAUGUGCAAAUCAAUCAGAGUCAGCCUGCAUCAGCAUAUAUAUCGGGAAGAACUUGAGCUCUGGCCUCUGUUUGGCAAACAUUUUUCCGUGGAGGAGCAGGACAAAAUUGUUGGUCGGAUAAUUGGAACCACUGGUGCUGAAGUACUUCAGUCAAUGCUGCCUUGGGUGACUUCUGCUCUAACACAGGAUGAACAAAAUAAUCUGAUGGACACACUGAAGCAGGCUACAAGAAACACAAUGUUCAGUGAAUGGCUUAAUGAUUGCUAUAAAAGAACUCCUGAAUUAUCUGGGCAACCUGACAAAUCAGAUAGCAGCAGUUCUAGUACAGGUUUCAUAUAAUUCUUGCCCUGCGUUCCUGUCCUGUUGAAAACUAUGAUUUUCCAUUAGUUAUUUAUUCUAAGGAUAUAUUCUGUCAGAAUUACAAGUCUAGUUUCAAACAUUCUAUAGGUACUCAGUCUCAGGAAACCUUGGAUCAGGGUGAUCAGAUGUUUAAACCAGGUUGGAAAGAUAUUUUCCGCAUGAAUCAAACUGAACUUGAAUCAGAGAUUAGAAAGGUGCACAGAGACUCCACUCUUGAUCCCAGGAGAAAAGCAUACCUGAUUCAGAAUCUUAUGACUAGGUAUGCUUCAAAACUGUACUCUCAAAUUUUUGGCAAAAUGUGGGUUCUUCUAUUUACUGGUGUCACUGAUUUUUAUCUAUUUGUUUUUAAAUACUUAGAUGUUGAUAAAUUGCUUUAUGGUCUCUGAAAGUAGCAUUUUUCAUUGGUUUUUGUUUGUAGUCGUUGGAUAGCUUCUCAGCAGAAAUCACAAGUAUCAAUGGAUGAAAAUUCAGUCAGUGACGAAACUCUUGGACUUUCACCUUCAUUUCGGGAUACACAUAAACAAGUUUUUGGGUGUGAACACUAUAAGAGAAACUGUAAACUCCGUGCUGCUUGCUGUGGGAAGUUGUUCACAUGUAGAUACUGUCAUGAUGAAGUGAGCGACCACUCCAUGGAAAGGUAAAGAAAAGUUGCAUAAUUAAGGAUCUCUAUACUGCCCUUUAUUUCCAUUAUUCAUUCUCAUUCCACCUUUGCAGGAAAGCAACAGUAGAGAUGAUGUGUAUGGUUUGCCAGAAGAUUCAACCAAUUGGCCCAGUUUGCUCAACACCUUCAUGCAAUGGAUUUUCCAUGGCAAAAUACUAUUGCAGCAUAUGCAAAUUUUUUGAUGAUGAAAGGUAGAUGAAUUUGCCACUUCUUAAAGCAAAAGUUGUUCUUUGCUCUUUUUCUUCCAUAAAAACCAAUAACCGAGAUAAUGGAUAUCCAUGAAUGAAAAUCAUGAUAACAAUAUUUACAAAUCAAUAAGAGAAACACCUCAUUGUAAUCUCGUAGUCACUUUAUUGUAUUUCUUUGUACCACCACCAUAAAACUUGUUUAGUGGUGGAAUUAUUCCUGUUCACCCACAAUUAAAGUUAAACUUACAUGACAGAUAAGUGAUGCAGCAUUGUUUCCAUUGAACAAGUGUGCGAUGAUGCAAAUCAGGAUUGUCAUUUUAGUUUCUACUCGUGUUUUCAUAAUCCAUAAACAGAGUAAGGCACCAUAAGAUGUGUUUUACAACAGGUUUAUCUCAGCAUUGUCUUUGGUUGGUGAACAUUAGAAAUUCAGUAUAUGGUCCGCUGGAAGGAGAAAAAGGAUGGGAUAUGCAAUAUUAACAUUUAAUGAAGCUUAGAACAAUUUAAUCAGAAGUUCUUUGGGUUUCUUGUUUCUCUAUCUCUUCUCCGUCCUGUGUGCUGUGCCCCCGCUUCACUUGCAUGAAUCUUUGUGAGUAUUUUUAUAAAAAGGAGUCUUAUCUUCGAUGGUUUGUUCUUUUAAAAUAUUGAUAGCUAGGAGAAGCUAAGAAAGGCCAGGAUAUACUUUUGAAUUCGUCUUUGUUCUAUUGACUUUUAUGCUUCCUAGCUUUGUUCCCCUAAUUUCGACCAUCUAACAAAACUUUUAUGAUAGAUUGUACUUACAGACUUUAAGCACUGUCAAAUUUGUCACAAUAAGCACUGAAACAAUGAAUCCUGUGAUGCUUAUUAUAGUGGAAUUUUUUGCAGAUAUGAUGGUUUUUGUAUUGAAUGUGGAUUAUAAUGCUUUGUGGUAUUGAUUUUGUAUGUUUAUUGGUCUAUGUCAAGGUUCAAAAUAUGUUUUCUGUUCUCUUUUUUUUUUUUUCGGUUGGGGAUUGAAUUGGCUGUUUUAACAUUUAAAUAAUGACUAUAAUUGUGCACCUGUAGGGAGAGAUAAAGGAAUUAGUAUACUGUAAAACAAAACACACACACACACACUCUCUCUGUUGUUUUACACUAGAGUGUUCUCAGUAGUAUUAGUACUCAUGCCAAUUUGGAAGUUUUCAUGCCUGUUCAGCAUUUUGAUUAAUUUAGAAAUCUUUUGGACUUUCUUACCUAGUGAUUUGUAUGUUGUUUUCAUAACAAAUGCACUCAGUAGUUCUUCUUCUUUUCUUCCCUGUUGCAGGGAUGUUUAUCAUUGUCCAUCUUGCAAUUUAUGCCGUCUUGGGAAGGGUCUUGGAGUUGACGUUUUUCACUGCAUGAAAUGCAAUUGUUGUCUGGCUAUGAAGUUGGAAGAUCACAAGUGCUUGGAGAAGGCUCUGGAGACAAAUUGCCCCAUUUGCUGUGAAUUUUUGUUCACUUCCAGCGCAACAGUUAGAUGUCUACCUUGUGGUCAUUACAUGCAUUCAGCAUGCUUUCAGGUUUUAAGUUUUCUGAAUAUUUAGCAUUCUCUAUUUUUUGUUAUGCUCGGUCUGUUGCUUCUAUUUUACAUAGAUUAAAAUGCCCUCAUACACCACUGAUUGUCUCUCGACUCUCAUUAUGUUUACUUUUUGUCAUAUUCUAGGCAUAUGCUCGCAGUAACUAUAUAUGUCCAAUAUGCAGUAAAUCCAUGGGUGACAUGGCGGUAAGAAAUACUUUUUCCUUCCCUCUUACGUAUAUUUGUUUCUUCUUGGUAUAAAUAACCUUAUAGGUGCCAUACUUGCAAGAAAGCAAAGGCUCAUACGUGUUUUUGCAUUGAUGAUGGAACUAUUUUAGUAUAUAAUGAUUAUUUCCCCUGUUCUUCUGUGCUGUUGGUACCUGGUAAUCUGUCCAAGUUUUUCUUUUUUCAACAUCUUUUUACCAUUUGAAUAGGCUACAAGAUUUUCAGACUUUGUAUUCUUUAAUGAUGUAAAGCAUUCCGCUUGAAUGGUUGGGAGUGGCUGCUUUGUCAUUUUAGACUUUCACAUGACUAACUCAUUUUUAAAGAACUCUAAAGGUGAAUAUGUUGAUGUCUUAUGGUUUAUCUAUAACUGCCUUUUCACCCAGGUAUACUUUGGCAUGCUCGAUGCUUUGCUGGCCAAUGAGGUGCUUCCAGACGAAUAUAGGAGCCAUCAGCAGGUCUGAGCACAUUCUUUUUCAUGCCUUGAGGCCUAUGCUUCUUCAGUGAGAAGCUAUGGGCAGUUUUAGUUAGAUACACAUAGGGAUACAUGCAAACACACAAAAACAUGCACAGACACUCGCAAGCAUGCAAGUGGAGGAAAACAGGCAGGACUUUUUAUCCAAGUCAUUAAUUGGUAGUUGUUAACGAUCCUUCUGUAAUUCAAUUAUAUAGAAACACUUUUUGUUCUAGAUUUAACUUAAUAUCCAUUAAAGGUAGCUUGCAUCUUGCCGCAGAUGUUCUUUGCUAGGUUAUGCCUUUUAAAUUAGUUUUAUUUUUUCCUAAAUUGCUCUCUUGUAAAUGUCGUUUAGGAUAUCCUCUGUAACGAUUGUCAGCGGGAAGGUGCAGCUCAAUUCCAUUGGUUAUAUCACAAGUGUGGAUUCUGUGGAUCAUAUAAUACAAGGGUCAUCAAGGCUGCAUCUGCAAAUUUUGAAUGCUCUACAUCCAAUCAUGAGGUUGAACCCUCUUGAAACGGGUCAGAGAAUCUGAACUUGUAAAUAGCACUGUACAGGAAUUGCAAAAUUUUUGUAACCAUUCCCCCCCUCCCUUUUUCUCUUUUUUGAAGUUUGUAGAGAGAGUAGUUGUCAUAUUAGCUGACAAAUUAUUGGGAAAGUGGACCCCAUCUCGGUUAAUAGAAGACUUUAGAUGGUAAACUGACUGAUUGAUAAAUGUCUCAGCUUUGGCCAUGACUUUUGACGUUUAUAGUUUGCACAGUUUCUGCUUCUUGUGAAUAGGGCUAGGGCUGGUGAUCAUAGUCCAAACCGUGGGGGGAUGUAGGUUGCUGUAAAUUUCCUUCUACGGCUUCUAGUGCAAAGCGCAAAUGAUUAUUAUUAACAACGAAAGCAAGGUGAGGGAACCGAACAGAACCGGAGAUUAAAUUAGUGUUUCAUUAAAUUUUUGAAGUUACAAAUUGAAAAUUCCAUUAGCAUCGAGCCUGUAACGCUUGAUCAACCCCAUUCCACCCCCAACCUCAAAUAAGAUAGUUCUGUGAACCAUGGAUCUAAUUUAACGAAUGGAUUGGCAAAGCGCAGUUGUUGAGGCUGAGGGGACAGGAGAAAGGUUAUUAGUGCAACCGUUUUUUAAUGAUAUGACCCCUUUUGAGUAUGACCGUGGGUCAAUGAAGUAAUAAAAUGUCUUUUGAAUAUAACGGAAUUCAUGAAAAAUUGUUGUAAGUACUAUUUUAUAGAAAAAAAAUAUUAUAGUAUUCAGUUAGUGUGGAUAUGGGACCUGUGUACGUCAGUUACAUUAGUAUUAUACGGCAUACUCUAAAACUUAUUUUAAAAGAAGAGAUUGACGCAAGUUUGUCCCUCACCAGGCAGUCACAUAAAGAGGCUAGCUGGAGGGUAGCAAGGCUGCAAAAGCCUAAAUUUCCUCCAAUGCUUUUUGAAAUGAAAGCUUUCAAGGUGGGGCAGAGCCACCCCGUAGGCCUGAGAAACGGUAACUUACCUUUUACCCCUUGACCCUUGUGUGAUUUUGAUCCUUGACACAUAAUUCAUAUAUGAUUUAAAAAUCUAUAUAUAACUUUCAUGAUUUUGGUUAAAAUGUCUUCAUUAAUUUUUUCGUUAAAAUUAAUGAUCAACGGUAAAAAUUAAAUUGAUAAAUUGACAAAUUCACCCUUUCACUACCUCUUUUUUUUUUUUCCUUUUUGCCCUCUAUCUCUCCCUCUCUUAAAAGAGAAGAGCUGAUUUUGAAAACAUAUACUUUGGUGUACAAAAUUUUAAUUUUCUCCAAAUAUAAAAGUAAGAAAUAUAAAACAAAUAAAUAAGAAACAAAAAAUACCAAAUCUUUUUUUAUUACAAAUAUCAUUAUAGGUUUUUAAAUCAAAUGUUUAAUGAUAUUUUCUGGUUCUUAUUUAUCUAUUUUUUAUUUCAAUUUCUUCUUUUUAUGUUUGGUGGGAAAAAAGAAAUAAUGAAAGGGUAAAUGUGGUCCAUGUUUUAAUGAUGCAUAUGUUCAACUAUGUAAGGAAAAAAGUCCUCCACUAACUUUAUUUUUGUGUAAAUAGUGUAAUUAAAUUGUUAGGAAAUGACUCAUAAGAGACCAAAUUAUCUACGACACCAAAGAAAUAUGCCAAAAUAGUUUUUAAUGAUGCGCAUCUCAAGCAUGCAACAAAUAUUGUUAGAAUUUUCCAACCUUUUGUUACAAGUCCUAUAUUGACUUUAUUUUUUGGAGAUGAGAGACUAAAUUGGAAAGAGAUCCAUGAUGAAUUUUCACAAGGAAAGCUAUCACUUUAUUCAUGACAAAAUUAGAUUUUUUUUUUUUUUUUUGCACUCACAUAUUCAUAACUUGAGGAAGAAUAUCAAUACGACACGUCAAAAAAGUGAUCCCUGUAUCCACAAAAAGAACUCAUUGGUAUCUAUUAACAAAGUAAUUUAUAGGCUUUUAGGUUAGUGACAUGAGAAAUCCAUCUUCUGUUGGUAAAACUCCAAUUCCUUCCUCCCUAUUUUGAGAGAAAAAAAUUACAAUAAAAAUGGGGCCAUUAUCAAAUAUUAGAUACCGAAUAUCUAUCAUAGAUUCAUAGUCAUGUUGUUAUUCAAAACCAUUUUACAGGGAAAUUGCAAUUUAGGUCUAAGAUAUUCAAGGCAAUUACUGCAAUAUGGUCCCAAAUGUUUCAUAAAUAUCAAAUUUUGGUAAAAUUUGAGGGCAAAUUGUUCAACACCCCAAAUAGUAGAAAUCAAAACAAUCAUACUACUAGGAAUUUGCCUCCAAAAAGAACACACAUUUGAUCGUCUAUAUCAGCAAUUGUAUAAUUUGUUAAUUGUCCUCCAUUAGUCACAACAAAAAAGUUGACAAACUAUGUUCUAGUGAAACAUUAGAGGUCAGAACGGCUUACAAUUCAAAAAAUAGGGACUAAAAUUGCAAUUGAAUCUUAUCCAGUAACUUAUCAUAGAAUUUGAUUUCAAGAAUUAACAUAUAAAGUUACCUCAUGUUUAGGGGGGGGGGGGGAACUAAGAAGUUACUUUAUGGUUGUCAAAAGCUUGAAAAAGCAUUUUCAUGGUUUAACAUUAAUUAUAAUUUUAUUAACUUCCAUGAUAGACACAAAAUAACGAAUUAAGACCAAAGUGAAAAAAAAAAAAAAAACAAAUGUUUACGACAUUAGUGUGUUUGUCUCAAGAUGCUUUGAAAACACUCAUUAAUUAAUUGGUGCCUCGAGUAUUAAUAUUAUAAACAUGUACAGGUCCAUUAAACCAAUAUUAAUAUGUAUCAAUUCUCAUAAUCUCCCUAUAGGUGAGCCUCAUCCGCUUCGCAAAAAUAGUUUUAAAAAAUUUUUUUGCUUAUUAACUUUUUGAAUUUAAAAAGUCCAAAAUUAGAUUUUGAAUCACUUAACUAGAUUUUACAUUUAUUGUUAGAAAAGCUCCAUUAAGGAAAUUGUUUUUUUGAUAGAUGUGAUAAUCAAUAGUAUGAAUAUUAAUGAUCGAAAUAUUUAAUGUCAGUACUGUUUGCUCCUUGUAAAGCUAAAAAAGGAAAGUGAAACCCCUAACAAUAAUUUAUCAACAGCUAGUUCUGUAGUUUGGAAAUAAGAAUUUAUCUAGUAUUCGAAAUUAAAUUAAAUUUAAUAAAGCCCAUAUACAAAGAAAAAACAAAAAGAAAUGAUAGCAGUCCACAUCAACCAAAAAUAUUGUUUUUUCCCUAAUUUAGCCUAUUAAAUUGCCAUCAAUAACUUCCAUAUGCAUUAUUAUGGCUGGCCAAGCAAAGGCGGAAGGAAAAUUAAACUCCAAGAGCAAAGAUGUGUCAAAAUUAUUACAAUAUCUGACCAAAUUAGGAUGAUUGCAGUUGAAUCAUCUGCCCUCUUUUCCCUUCCCCAUAAAAGUAAACCACUUGCUCACAAUUGGAUCCCCUAACUCAAAUCCAUCGUUUCCUCAACUGUAUUUAAUCUUUCUCAUAAAGGCAUUGAGAGAAAAACAAAGUUUGCAACCGCCCUCAUCAAAAUCUAGUGCAAAAGCUCUAAAAAUCAUCACAAACAUCCAAAAACCAUUACUCAAAAUUUUUGGUUUUUUUGAACCAUUUCUACUCUUCAUCCUUUCUUUCUAUAUAAACGCUCCUCCCUCUCCCGUUUACACACUCCAAAUAAAAUCUACACAGUUAAAUCAACGGAGGCAAGCUUUUUAAGCAUAUAUUUCUCCUUUAUUUCGACAUGGAUGGUACUGCGGAAAGAAGCCUUCAUAACUUCAUAUUACACUCUCAGCUCAAAUGGGGUCGCCAAAAGCAUCUCCGAUGUGUCAAAUCAUCCCAUACCUCCUCCUCUACCUCAGCCAGUCCCUCUCCAAAAAAAACCCCUAAAGGAAAACUUACCAUGCACUCAGCAACAAUAAUUGCAAGUGGAAGAGGAGACACAACCACCGACAUUGAAGCUGUACGUGAGAAGCUGGUGACCGACCUCAAAGUCACGAUAGAUAAUCACCUGAAACUGAGGAUGUUCGAUGAUCAAGAGAAAGAAAAAAAAUCCCAUAAGUAUCGUCGGGAGGAUAACAAAAAACCCUUUGAGGAGGGGUUGCCCUGGAACUUGCGAAGUCGUCUGGCUAUCGGUAAGGCUGGGCAUGGUGUGUCAAACGUAGGUUUGUCCCCCGCCAUGCUGCAGUCACAGAAAUGGAAUGGUGGGGAGGCUAGCAAGAGUUUAGGGGGGCUGCAAAGGCCAAAGUUCUCAGCCACUCUUUCAAAUGAAGAGAUUGAGACCGACUUCUUGCUCAUGACUGGGGCAAAUCCACCUCGUAGGCCUAAGAAAAGGUCUAGGUCGCUUCAGAAGUCGCUUCAGAAACACCUUGAUGUAAGUUACCUCAUUUUUUUCUUGUGAUUUUUACCUAAAGCAUGCAUGUAUGUGGUCUGCUAGAAUCAUUUAUUGAUUCUAGAUUUAACAAUAUUUCUCUUUUCUCUCCUUCAAAUGAUUAUAGAGAUUGUUUCCUGGUUCUUGGCUGAAUGUGAUAACACCAGAGAGUUAUAAAGUUCUGGAGCAUCUUGAACCAAAGGUUGAAAUUAUGUAGUUUUCUGUGUUUAUUGGUUUAUAUUAAUUCACUUGGGUUUAAAUAAAACGUUCUAAUUUUUUUCCUUUUUUUAUUUUGUAUUUCGUGCUUGUACGAUUGUGUUCUAGCAGCAGGCCGACAAAUGAGAAGAAGAUGAAAGCAAUGGAUGUUGAAGAUUCUAGAUGAAAGCAAUGGAUGUUGAAGAUUCUAUGUUCUUAUUAAGCAAUACGAGACAAGCAUUUUUUAGCUUUUCUUCUGUUCUAGCCUUCUGCUAGGGUUGUUAGGGAGUGGUGAUAUAGAGUAUCAUGGCAGUACUGAUGUAGAAUUGCUAUUCCGAUUGUGAUAAAAAUAAAUUUGGAAUCUCAAUCCUAGUUUUAUUUUGUGUUGUAGUUAUAGCAUCAAGUUAGAUCGUUUAAACCUUUUUAUUUGGACAAAUAAACGUGAAAGUUUAUAAACUUUGUUUCCCUUCAUGAUCAUUUCAUUUGAUCUCAUAAAAUGAGAAAAAAAAAUGUGGUAUCAAUUUUUAAUAAGUAAUUUGGAUUUCAUUUUUGAAAACCAAGUAGAUGCAGUUUGAUUUUCUGAACAGAAAAUGAUUAGCUUUUUAGCACUUGAAUUAUAUGCAAAAUGACACAAAAAAAAUUCAUCCCUUUUUUUUCCGUAUUUUGAGCUUUAGCAUCUUGUAUUUUGUGUUUCCAAAAAUGUCCCUGUCUCGCCGUUGUUUUGGGUAUAAAAACAUAUGUUUUGGGUGACGACACGGUAUAGGUCCUCAAUUGGCACAAGAAUUUUAGUUAAAGGACUUAAUUCAUGCGAUAAAACAUUAAGGGAUCAAAUCGGCUUUAGUGAAAUAGUUUGAAGACUAAAUUGGCGAUUUUUCCCGUAAUUUUUGUAUGAAAAGAAAGUGUAAGCAACUGGAUGUUUCGAGUUCGAAUCUUUUUACUUACGCUGAAAUUUUUUUUUUAAAGCUUACGACUGGAUUACAAAGUCUCGGCCGGGACUACUAACCAAAUCCUAGGACUAUGGACUCGUCAACCGACACUUAUUUUAUUUGGGCCAACCCAGGGAAAAUUGCAAGUUCAACCUUGGGCUGGACGUCAUCGGCUUCGACCUGGAAAUCGUGAAGCUCCAAUAAGACAUAAACGUGAAUGUAACCAGACUGUUUUGUGCAAUAAUUAGUAGACAAGUAAUGUACAAAUCCAAAUUUCAUUAUUGGGUAGAUUUUUCUGACAUCUCAAUUUUAUGUAGCAAUUAUGGGGAAAAUGAAUAACGUACGAAAUAGGAAAUGAAUAGCUCUGUUCCUCAGCUGUUACUACCGUAUUUUAUUAGAAAAUAAAAAAUAGUGAAUCACGGACGAAUCCACGAGUUUGUUUGAAUUGCACAUAAUUUACAUCUUAUUUACACGCACUGAUUUGCUUGCAUUAUCAACACAUUUUCUAACCACCUUUUUAUUUCACAUAUAUCACAUCAAAAAAAUGUGUAUUUUUUAAAAAAAUUAUCCCAAAUAAUCUCCAAUCCAAAUACUCUAUUUUUCUUGAAAGGUUAGCCAUUGACAUUACAAUGGCACUAUCUCUUCUUCUCUUGAUUUUUUGGUUGAAUUAAUCUUCUAUACACUGCCAGUGUAUACACUUUUACCAUUGGAUCCAUGACACAUAAUCUGAAUUUGAAUUUGAAACUCAAAAUUUGCAUGUGUAUCGUAUAUCUAACCGUGAUAGUAUAUACAGUGUCAGUGUAUAUAAGAUUUGCUCCUUUUGAUUUUAGCGUAGUAUAAAAAUAUAAUGAAGAAAUUGCUUUGUCCUAAAAUAGAUUAACAAAAGGAUGGAAAUCUAGGAUGUAAAGUAGAGAUCAUCGCUUAGAUAAUACCAGGUCUAAUUUACAUGAAUAACUAGUGCAGUAGAAUGAAAAUAGAUUGAGAAUGUGUUUACGUUUUUAUAAAACAAAUACGGCUUAAUUGUGACUUGAUUAUGAGGUGUAAAAUCAUUUUUAUUAAAAAUAAAAAAAAAGGAAACAAUAGCUAUUAAAUUUUCUGUAGCCCUCAAAAAACAUUAAAACCCCAAAAACCAAGAAGGAAGAUUGCCCAGAAAAUACUAACCAAACUAAGAUAAGUAAAUCUAGACACCUACAACUUACUAUCUUAGAGAGCAUAUGAUUGUCAUUAAUGAACAUUGAAUUAUCCGAGAAACAUUUCACCCAAUCCAGUACAUUUUUCCAGUGAAGGUGGUCCAGGUAAUUAUGCAAUACCACUGAUGAUGUUGCUACGGCAUUUUCUCCUUGCAGACGUGUAUCAGCGUACGUCUCUUGAGUUUAGUUAAAAAGAAAAAAACAGAGCCCCAACAAAAAAUAAUUGCUAAAAAUUCCAAGUGUGCAUGGUGCAUUAAUGAUGCGUGGCUAAUUAUUCUGCUUUGCCACCCUUGAAAAGGAGACAAAAUUCAAAAAGCCAUAUUCAUGGAAGCUACAGAGUUGGAUUGAUUUUUACUCAAUCCAUCUCUUGAAGCAAGUGGAGUUAGUCACAGAAAGCAAUGCCUAUCUUUCUUAUUAAGGAUAGUGAAUCAUAUGCCGUGACCAAGGUAUAUACCCUGCUACACUACAAGAAAUAGUACAAUAAUGUAGCUGUAAUUGAUCUUUAUAUAUAUAUUUUUACUGUAACGAUAACAUUUUUAUAACCUAAUCUAUUCUAAUUUAGAAGAAGGGGAGCCUAAACAGACGGUAUGUAAGGGGCUAGUAGGUAUAAAAAUCUGACUAGAUCAAAGGAGUGCUUGGACAUCUCUUUUGAAUUUUUUUCACUGCAGUUGGAGUCCAAAUCUUUGACAUUCAGCCCAAACCAAAAGAACUUAGUCCCUUUUUAUGCCUUGUCCUUUAUAAUAGUAACCUGCAGUAGGUAAUUGAUCUUCAUAUGACCUUGUCCUUUUUGUGCCUCCCCUUUCUGAUGCAUCGAGGAUUGUCUUGUUACGAGCAAGAAAAUACGGUUUUACUUUUUACCUUCAAGAGUCAUGCAUUACCUUACGAAGCUAUGCCUAUGAUCUUCUAGUCAUUUACACGCAUCAGAUAAAGUUUUGGUCAAAAUGAUCCCCAGGUUUAUAGGACUAUUCGUUUGAAUAUCCCCUCAGACAGAGGUAGAUAGGACACUUCACUGGAUUGAACUGGGAUGCGUUCACGUGGACGAGUCUCUCUUUACUUCUUUCUUGUCCUAUGCACAUUCUUGAUUCCAAUAAAAAUUUUGUGCAUGCAAGGUAAAAGGCACUCCACUGAUCCUGUACUGGAAAUUUUUGAAGUCAUAUCUAAACUCAUGGUUGAAAUUUGGUCCAUUUGGAAGAGGGAGGGUCCUACAUCUGUGCAGACCAGGUGCUACGCAGGUGCUGGAUUUGGGAAUCUUGCAAACCAGCACCAUAGGUACAUAUGUACGAGAGGAAAUGAGAAGCUAAUACGUAUGUAAUGUGGAAUGGGGGUGGCAAAUGGCAAUUUCUGUUUCUGUUUCUUUUUUUACUCUUCUUUCCUUUUUCUUUAUUGAGUCUAUUGUAUAAUUGUUCAAUCCGGUCCGAACAUCAAUGGCAAGGCCACCGAUUCAAAGGGUUAGCAGUCUGAGAUUCAAAGUCACGAACAAUUAAUGAAUUGAUGUUGAACAUAUGGUGGAACCUUUGGCGUUCUGAAAUUUUAUUCAUUGAACCUAUGGUUGGUGAACCAUUGACUAGUAAACAAGUUCCUUCCUUAUAGAAGUUUCACAAUUCAUGCCCAAAUUCACCGGGUCAGUAGCCAUUUUUAGAGCCAACAGCCUUUUGGACUAUUGAUACCACCAAGACAUUUAAGUCGAGUGAAAGGUCAAAUAUUCAACCUUUUUCUUCCACCUUGCCAUUUAAUUGUGAAUUUUUCCGACGAAAAAAUUUCGUCGACUUCCUCUUUCUUUAGAUUAGAAUAGAAUAGGUUAUAUAAAUAUUAUUAUUACAAUAAAAUAAAUAGCCAUUUUUAGAGACUACAGGCAGGGUGUUGGCAACCAUUUUUGUCCAACCACUUGCGAUAAAAUGUGUACAGACAAGAGAAUCGUGACGCAGAUGUCUCGACAAUUGACCGUAAGAUUGAUGCUAGUGGUCUUUGACUGCCAGAAAGUAAGAAUUUUCUACAGUUUUUUCUGUCCACUGAGAAUGGUAUGAAACGAGUGCUUUCAAGUCUACAAAAGUUACUACUAUUCUUGCAUCAUUAAUGAAAAAAGCUUAAAUUAGAACCAAGGUAGUCAAACCAACACCAGAAAAAUGUCUACUGAAUUCUGGUUGCCCUCCAUCAACGGAUUCUUUAGCCCCCUGAUUUUGCAGUGGGAGGCAAAAUGCAGAUGCACCAUGUUCCACUAUUCAAAUUUUAUUUUUGGGUCCUGGGGACCAAAGCAGGAUUUGCAACUCAGUAGUAAAUCUACGGGUUUUUCAUAGCCAGGUUGUUUUACCCCCUUCAACAAAUUUUGACGGUUCAUUUUCAAAAGUGGUUCAACGGGAACUAUUGAAAUAGUAUGGUAUGGUAGGGCUUGAAGUUGGUGUAGUAUUUACAUCAACAAUAUAUUACGGACACUGACUCACAUUACAUACGCAAGGAUACAACAUCAAUCAAUGUCAAGUGGAAACUCGUCAUAUUCUUGAUACCUGGAACAUUUGUAGGACAAAGGGAAAGAGAUUUCUGCAUUCAAUAGCCGAAAACAGGGUCCAAGACAGAUUAGAGAAAUAACUCACUGUCGGAAAAUUAUCUGAUCAAGGACUCUUCUAGUUUUCUUCAGCUUCAGCACUGGUUACAUGGCACUAAACAAAGCAGUAAUUAGCUCAGCUCAUGGAGCUGAAGCAUUAAUAGCUUGACUUGACAUGCAUUAUUGUCAUGUUAUACGGACUGAAAAUAAUAUGAUACAGUAUAAAUUAUGAACCUGUUGGCAUGAUCAAUAGCUUCCGAGCAAAUUCCUUCAAAGGCUUCAAUAAUUCAGGGAAUGAUCACAGUCGGCAAAAGCAUUUAAGGUUUGCUAGUUAUUAGAUUAUAGAAAAGUUAGGCCUAUUAAGGAUUUCUUUGCCCCUCACUUGGUACAAACUGUAGUUUGUUCCUCUGGAUCCGGUGGUCAAAAAAGCUGGAGUUGCAAACUGGGAAGACUUGAUGUAAAGCUUCACUCAUCGAUCCCAGAGGCAUUAUUCGAGUUUCAACAAAGAGGAAAGUAUGGAGUUAGGUAUCCAAAGCAUGGCCCGCAACAGUUUAAAAUAUAAAAGUAGGUUAAAGCCUAAAAGAGCCUAGAAGGGCUUUUCCUGUUUGAUUUGGUCCUCCAAAUCCGCUAGUCAUUAACGCAUAAAUCACAUUCCUCAGAAACAAACAAAAAGCAAAGACAAAGCAAAUCUAAGGAAAGAAGGACCUAAUUCCCAUAAUACAUGAUUUACAAACAUCUAAUCAGAGUAAGACCCGGAAAGCUGCAGGCUCGAAAAUCUAGAGGAGAGCAUGUCAUAGAGAACCAAAAGAGGGAAGCAAAAGGCCAGCCCUUGAAUAAAGGUUACCUGCUUCUAUGUCCCCCAAGCUCGUGACAUGCGGAUAUGCACUACCAUGACCAUUCCAAAUCUUCCAUUCUCUAUAUCCCUCUACUUUUCUUCAUCAAAUAUCUUUGUACAAUAAUAUUUCAAAAUUUUGACAAUAUAAUUCAUCAAAAGAUGGUUACUUUCCUAAUAAGCAUGACAAGGUGGAAUCUGUGACCAUGUCAUAUGGCAAAAAAUUUGCAUGUUUAGCGUACCAUUAGCAUAUAACAAUCCAUCAUCAACAACCUAAAAUGAGCAAAUUCUUCAGGCUACUAGCAUAGAUUGAAUUAAGACCUACCGUGUAAAAAGGUCUUGCAAGAUGGUUCAUUUGCUCGGAGAUAACGAUGAAUUAUGAUGUUACAGCUAAAACUGCAAAAGUAUCAUCAUUUUUUCAUCCUCUUAUCUUUUCCGUUUCGGAAAAAAGACCCCAGACCAAGGAGAUUGGCAGUUCCCUUGGAAAUAUGAGAUGAUGGAACUGGCACAUUGAGCACUGGGCUAAUCCGGAUCCCAUUUCCAUUAGACCCCAUAUAAUUCUUCCUGAGAGGAGGUUUUUGUGACAAUGGAUACACAUAAAAGCUAGGGGCUGAUGUUGCAUUUGCACUUGCAGAGGCGGAAGCAGAAAUCCCCAUAAGAUUCUUCUGCUGUUUGGAAGAUGCAUUCUGUUUCUGACUUUCCCUCAAGCCCUGUUUUGAAUUUGGUACAGAACCAGUUGAAUUGCUCCUAGACAAUAGUGGUAAUGACCAAAAUGAGCUCUUUUUGUGACUAUUGUCACAAUGAAGGCUACUACUUCUCUUGAUACCCCAAAAAGAUUUUGAUUGAUUCUUCUGCUCUGCUUCAAUAUUUGUCAAGGUGGUUUCUUUUUCUUGCAAAAUCUCUUGCUUUGAGCCUCCAUUUGCCUGAGGAAGAAACGGAAGAGGUGGAAGAGAAGGCACCCGGUGAGCCUGAGCUUUAGAUUUCGAAGCAUUUUUUGGAGUAUGAACAAACCUUUCUUGGAGCUGCACAGGGCGAAUUAGGCCACCUGAGAAAAGCUCCUCAGCUGAAGAAGUUUCAUGAGCCCCAGUGCUAUUGCUGGUGAUGCAGAAAGCAAAAUCAUCCGAGUCUGAGUCAAGCUGUAGCAUAGAAUCUAGGCGAUAAGGUUUAUCUUCGACAGCCGCGGCCUCAUCUGUUUGGCAAAGAUCAUGAGAAAAUGAAAUUCUUGGACUUGUAUUCAAGCUUGAAUUCUCUGUGCUCGUAUCAAUUGCCAUGGUUAACUAACUUUUGCCUCAAGAAUUUGGGAGACCUGAUGAUAAAAAGCGCAUCCAGGAUAAAUCUAAAUGGGAUUCUUGUACUUAGAAAACAAAAAUUUUUUUAAGGAUUCAAAAAAGUUGUGGAACGACAGCCGCUUGAAGAAACAGAAAAGUGACAAGAUUGUUUAACAAGUCAAAGAAGAAACGUCAGCUGAGCUUUGACAGUGUCAAAAUUUUGGGGCUUCUGGUGGACUGCUAGGAUUACUUUCAUGGAUAAAUAUUACAAGUGUUCAGUGACUACAGAUCAGAGAAUUUUCCAACUAUGACUGUUUUGGGAAAGGAAUAGUUUGAGAAAGAGUAGAGGAGAAGGCAAAAAGACAGAAAAAGAGGAAGAGAGAGAUGCAAGGUGGUAGAAAAGUUUCAUCGCACUCAGAGUUUCCUUCUUGCAACGGCAAAGAAAAACUGAUUUGAGGAGUUUAAGUAGUAGACCAGUCAGUCAGUACAAGCACCUCAGCAUCUACUCUUAAACCUCCUUUUUUGUUGGCUAAAUUCUGGUGCUUAUUGACUCUGUAGGCUUUUGACUUCCGAACCAAAUGUCAAAAAAAAAAAAUUUGAAAAAAUUGUUGCCACUUAUUUAGGAAGACAAAUCUUUUGUAAGUAUUUGUGAUCCUGAGAUAAUUGUCAGAAUGUGUUAUUUCUUCUGAAUCUUCACAAUGUCCUGUUUCUUGAUUGAAGAUCUAAUACUGCUUAAUAGUAUUCCAUACUAAAUGACAAGAUUGAUCCGAGCUGAUUAGCACUAGAUUAGCAUUUAAAGCAAAAGACUCGGUGGCUUUCGAGCUGAUUCUAGCAAAAUACCGUAGCACUUUAGUAGAUUAUUUGGGAUAAUUUUAUUUUAUUUUAAAAAAAAACAGUGUAGCACUUUCUUGAUGUGAUAGUGUGUGAGAUAAAAAAGUAGUUAAAAAAUGUAUUACUGAUGUAAACAAAUAAUUUUAGCAAAUAAAACACCAUCCAAACAAACCGAUUGAGGGGUCAAUAAAAACAAAUGGAUCAAAAUAUAUUUUAGUGAAAAUUGUUCUGUAAUACAUUUAUUAUUGAAACUUCCAUGAUUUUUGUGAUCAUAUCUAAGAGAAUAAAAAAGCCACCUUAUUGUAUAUUACUAAGAUAUUCGUUGCUACUUUAGUUCUAUAUUAUUUGCCAAAUUUGACACUAUAUAAUUUAGAAUUAAUACUCUAUACACUGACAGUGUAUACACUUUCACCGUUCGAUGCAUGAUACAUAAUCCGAAUUUAAAUUUGAAACCCAAAUUUUGUACACGUGUCAUGCAUCCAAAUGUAAUAGUGUAUAUACUGUCAAUGUAUAUAAGAUUUACUCUAUAAUUUAAUGAAUCUUUUGAAAUGUCGCCGAACGAGCAGUAUUAGAUAACAUGCUAAAAAAUAAAAAGCCAAUGUAAUAAAUCAUUUUAGGAAAAUUCCAUAAUUCCUUUAGAAAACCAUUUCCUCGAUUUGGGUCCGAUGGUGAGUUGCCAUAUCACUUAACAAUCGUAGUGAUUCACGUAUUAAAACAUUUGAAAUUUUUGCAAUUCAAAAGUUUUUUUUUCUAAAAAAAAAAACUCUUAUUUCAUCAUCCGACCGACACAGAGCAUGACAAUCAAGAGGAAUUGUUGCAUCUUAAUGACAUAAUUUCUUUUUAUGGCUGAUGAAAUUGAAAAAAGUAUUGAGUAACAGCACCUAUCCUUCAUUUGCAAGGUCUACUGCAUAACUGAACUUCGGAUUCAGUGUUUGAACAUUGUAUCUGCAAUAGAAUGACGUGUAUAUGCAUGUAUGUACAUUUGAAACAGGAUGAGCAUCGAAAUACAAUUUUGAGAGAAAAAAGGUAGGGGUGUGGUUAAACCCCUUUUUCUUGCAUGAUUGAAGUUUUGGUGGCCUGCCAUCUCAACAACCGACUGGAGUUGUUUUCCUUUCCAACAAAACAAAAUCAAGGUUUCUUGUAAUUUGGGUUUUUAUUAUAUCUUUGAGUGGUGAGUAUUUGUUUUUUCUAGCAAAUUCAUUAAUGGGAAUGGGCUAAAAACAGUGGAUUUGAUUGUCACAUAUACUUUCAAGUUCAAAACACUCUCGUAAAAUUUUAUUAGGAGAAACAAAUAUUAAAUUACCACGCAAAGGGAGAAAUUAACAACAACAGGGUUACGUGGGGGAGGAUUGCAUUGGAUUGUAACGAAAAAGAGAUUGUAAAUAAGAGAUUCUGAAUUCAAGAAUUCUCACUUAAAAGAAAAAGGUCAAGUUAAAAGCAGAUAAACUUCGAGAUAAUGGAAAUAAGAUAUGAUAUUUUAUUCAAGAUGAAGUUUCAUUUGAUUGAAACUAGUUGAAAAGUUUGACAGGGGCCUUUGGAGCAAUUAGAAUGCUAAAUUAGAUGAUACAUGGACAUUUGAAUUUGGAUUUAACACAAAAUUUUGGAGCAAUGAUUAGCUAGUGAGCUGUUAAUAUCAUAAUUCAUAACCAGUUACAGUGGCAUGUGCAAAUGUAGAAAUUGUAGGCUUUGGGGUCCCUUCACCUGUUUAUGAUUCAAAUUAUUGUUAUUAGACUUAAAAAGACUUCACAGAAUGGGUUUGAUUUGAUUAACCACACAGUUCAACAGCAUACUUGCCUUCAAGUGUUAGAUUAGCUCAUAAUCAUUUGCUUGGACAGAUCAUGAUUAAGCAUACUUGCCUCCGAGUGGCAAACGUGUCGAGCGAAGAAGACAAAUUGAUUAACUUUUUAACAUAGGAUCAUCCCCGACAAUUGAUUAAUGAAGUUCUGGCAUGCUUUGCUAAUUACGUAAUUAAGUUUUGAAGUGUACCACACUAUUAUUCAGUACACGAUACGUGUCAAAAUCUAAUCUAAGUUGAAUAUGUCAGAUGAGCAAUUAAUAUUGUUCCAACUUCCAACAAUAAAAGAUAUCAUAGUUUUUUUUUCCUCUCUCUUUUAAGGCAUGAAAAAUAUAUAUAUAUAUAUAUUUUUUGGUGGUCAGAAAAGAAUACGUGAAACAAAGACAACACGAUACCGAAACAAUUAUUGCACACGAAACAGCAUUAUUUCAUGCUCUCGACAUCAAGAUAUUAGUAACGAAAAAGUCUGAGUUUCUCAGUCAUCGGAAAAAGACAUCAAGAUAUUAGUAUUUGGAGAUCAUCAAUUCCAUAUAUAUUGAAAUCAUUGAACGAGUUUGGGAUUAACUACAACUGAACCUAGUCAUUUGCCUAAAAAUUGGCAAGUGCAUCAUCACUAUUUUGAACCCCAUGAAUACGACUGAACUAUAAAUAUUGUAGAAAAACAUUAAUAAAUAAUCACGACUGAUUGAUUUACAAAAUUUUAUCAGAACUUGGAUUGAAGCUUUUCAACAAAUUAUGUUUACAUUUUUCGUGAUCAUAUUUUUCAAUCGUUUUUUUACCUCACACACGUCUGAUCGUUACAGUAUAUUUUUCUAUAAAAAGUUGAGAAGAUAGCAAUCCAAACGGGUUAAGCAGAGCAGCCCUGUUGCGGCUGCUGUGAACUCGAGGUCACUGAUCUGAUGAUGCACCUAUGGCAUGGGAAGUAGGGCAUGUUGGAGAACGAUGGGAGGCAUAUCACCGCUAUUUUAUGUCAUUGUUUUAGUUUUGACAGGUGAGCCACAAUUGUUACUUGUCAUGUGUGGGAGCUGUCUACCUAGACAAUGAAGAGACAUGGCUCCUUUGCUGCAAGUGUUUUCCCCCUCGCCUAGCCACAACCUUGGACUGCCCCACCCCUACCAGAUAAGGGGUCCUAUAAGCAUCUUCUAGCAGAGCAUAAGACUACAACUUUAUCUGCGAAUGGCCAAGCACUAGGAAGCAAAUCAAAAAUAUUGCAACUAAACCAAUCCAACAUGUCCAACCAAUCUUGCCUAUGACCGCAAAUUGUAAUUGUAAAAAGGUGCACAUGGAAUGCGGAUUAUUGUUGUUGUGAUGUCCAGAAAACAGAACCACUUAAAAAACGAAUGUGAUUUUGUCUCUCUGGUUAUGCUUUUGCUCCCUCCCCAAAUGCUUCGAUUCGAGUCUGGAAAGCGAAAGAUCGUUAAUUUAGAGACAUAUCAGAGGAAUAAUGGACCUCUCUUUAGUCCUUAUCAAUGCCCAACAGCAACACAAGCUGUUGAUCUAAAUGAUUAAAACAGCAACUGUUGCACAUUAUCCAAGCACUGAUACUUCUUUUUUGCAACUACUUUGUCUCCAGAAGAAACAGAGGAAUGCUUGAACCGAAUCCAAUGCUGUAUGCAUUUCUCCAACUAGUGUGUUGCAGUCGUGAAUCUGGCAAGGUACCUGUUAGAUCCAUUGCGCCUUGUAAUUCUGUGCAAGAAGGUUACUUGUGUGCUUUUCCAUGAUAAGUCAAUUAAAUUCUACUGUAAACAAUUUGAAGGUUUCUAUUAUAAAACAAAAAAAAAAAAAAUUAAAUGAACGCAAGGGUACCAGAAUAUGAAAUUCCAUAUUUUUUACUGCACAAUUGCAAAGAAGGUAGCAUAUUUUACUGUUACACGAGAGUGUACUUUUACAUCUCAUGGAUGGACCAAACACCACGGCCAAAACCAAAUUCACUUAUGGAGUAAAUAAAUUUGCAAAUCAAAUGAAACAAUGUGUAACCGUUGUCAUCGCAGAUCGAUUACGUCGAACUUCUGCUUAGGAUUCAUAUAAACGUCUGUACAUUGCUUGUAAAUUGGGCUACCAUCAGACGGAGGGUCAUGAGCAUGAAAACCACGUCUAGGGCAUUGCCUUAUGACAUUCAUGCCACCUGGAGUUGUUAACCGGAAUAUGCCAUGGGUUCUGCAUGAUGGAAAAUCUAGAGUUACUCGUAAUCAAAUUGAAUUUCUUUAACUAUCAAAGUAUGUAUAGCUACUACAUUCACCUCAAGCCAUCUUUCGGCGCCAUCACAAUUGCAAUAGCUUCGGGCAACAUGAUCUGUUUAGGAAAUCAAUAGAGUGUAAGAACAGAUUUCCAGCAUCUAUAGGAAGUGAAAUCUUUCCAAGACAAAGAGCAUUAAACUGAUCAAAAACAACUCAAAAACUCGUUAUAUUGGUGUAAGCGUCAGAGAAGAUUUUUAGGUGGAAGCAUGAACAGGCAUAGCGUGCUAAAUCCCAACUUCUCUAUGCAAAAUAAAUAAAUUUCCAGAGACCAAAACAAGAUGAGGAAAGUAAAAAUAAGAAUACGGAACCGUGUAAGGAUAAUGAUGAGGUGUCUUAAGAGAGUACAAAACCUGAUAAGAGUAUUGAGUGUGAACAUCUAUCGAUGACAUAAAACACGAUUGUGUGGGAUGCGUCUGCAAUAGAAUAAACAUCAUGCAAUCAAUAACUCCAAAAAUUAUAAUUGCACAAAACUGACAAGUUGUACAUGUUUAGGACAUUAAAGAAGAUUAACUAAAGAAACUGACAGAUCCUUGCAGCUACAAACCAAAUUCUCCUUCCCCUUUUUCUGGACUCAUCUUAUGGAAGUGAAAUGCAGCUUUAAUUUUCAAUUGAUCUUCUCUAGUAAUUGAGAACAUAUUAAGAAGAGCUAUGAAUUUUUAAAAAUAGCUCUUCGAAACAAUCAACGAGUGAAUACCAAAAGCAAAAAAGUUCCAGGAACGUUUAUCAAAUUUAUUAGCUACUUGAAUACUUAAAAAUGAAUAAUGACCUCUAAAAGUUUAGGUUGAAUUAAUAAAAUAGAACUCUUGAAGGAAAAUUAUCAGCUAGCAACUCCAAAGAAAAAGUUGACAGCAGAGAUUUUUGUCCUUGUUCUUAAAGGUAAAUACAAGUGUUCCCAAGUAUCUUUCUUAUAUAUUCUCAGACAGGUAAUUCCACUACACAAAAUUAUAUCUAGAGGAGACCUCUGAGUUAUUAUCUAGAUGGUAAUCUUAAUAUUUGCAAAUAAACGCAUGCCAGGUUUUAAAUUGUUGUAUCAACCUAAAGCAGUCAUCUGUCAUUGUAAUAUUAUGCGAAAGUUGAACAGAGUGCAACCAGACUUCAAUUACCAAUAAUUGCGCUUACAUGAAUCCACCCUAAAGGGAAAAGAGAUUGCUUAUCCUGCACUUCAAAUAUUUCUUCCUCAUUUGUUGUUUGACACUGCUCAGAGAAACAAGUAAAUGAGAAUAACAUUUUAAACAGGGUCGGCAGGGGCAAAUGACAUUAAAACUUACCGAAUCUGAUGUUGAUUCUUGCUUCGGGAUGAUAAGAGCAGUAACACUAAAUCUUCGGUUUUUCUGUACACAACAAAUUAAACAAUGACAAUAGAUAAUCUGUUAAGAUAACAAGUAAUACAUGGAACAUCAGGUCAACAGUGCCAUUAAGUUGAUGUCACAUACAAGUGAACCAGCAAGAACACCACAAGUCUCCAAAUUCUUGUCCGUAUUUGACUUAGCCAGCCUCAUAAAACUGUCCAUCAAUGCAGUUGACUGUCAAAACAAACAUAGAUAGAAUAAUCUACUAUCAAUUUCCUUAUUUAAUCUAACCUCCAGAGAGUUCCAACCAGGUGCCUGAGAGCACAGGUGACAACCAAACAUCCCAGAAGAAAUCCAAGUUUGAUACAAAGGGGGGGGGGGACACCAAAAAAUUAGGGAAAAACACAAAAAGUUGAUAAAGAUCCUCACAAUGUGCAGUUCCAGAGGAGCUUCAGCACAGAUGACACCAUCAGCAUUAGAAGUCAGUCCGCAAUCCCUGUCCACAACUGCGGGUGAAGUAGAUGGGAUCAAAUCUUGUAUCUCAGCAAGAACAGGAGGAGGAGAAGGCUGUCUGAUGAUUUUCGUUUGCACAGGACUUUCCAUUGUUUCAAAGGAAAUCAAGGAAUCAGGUUCUUCAACCUGAUCUUUUUUGUCAUCUUUGCUUUCCAGGUCCAAUGGUUUCAAUUUUGAUACUUCAGAUUCUAAGUUGUUAUCAUGCUUUUUUAUUGAGGUACCAUCAUGCACAGGCUUCUGGCCAUUGCUUUCUCGUGAAAUAUCAGCAAAUGUCCUAGAUUAAUUAGCAUAAGCAGAAAGGACAAAAGAGACACUAAUUAGAAAUAUGUAAGGUCCCACAAGAAAGUUUUAAUCAAUUUCCAUUGUAAAGUUGUCAUAACAUAAGUAUUAAUUUCUUCAACCGAAAUCAUACACUAAUGGAGAUAUAAUUUGAAUAAUAGUCGACAAUAAAUCCAUUUGGAGCCUAACCUUGGGAUCUCAACAGGUGAAAAGUCUAUAUUACUUGGAUAGCGCACCUGCAUUAAGUAUGAGAGUUAAAACUUUAUCGGCUUCUGAGAAAUUGAAGACAAAGAAGAAAAUCAUCAUACCCCUGUAUCACUAGGUGGAGGUUGCCAUUGCCCAUUAAGCCCAUUCGGGCCGAAAACGGAAUGUCUGGAAAGAGUUUCCUCCUUUGGACGGGGAAUGUUUAAUCUUCUACAGUAGUGAUAAAUGUAAGUAAUGCAUAAUGGAGAAAAAAAAUUUAUGGAGGCUAAUACAAACAUCAGACGAGCCUAAAAAAAGAUGCUUAUUAACAUCAAAGUACACCCAAAUUAGGAAAACACGGUCUCAUGAACUUUUAAAAUGUCUACACUAGUACAAAUAAAGUUGAUUCAGGAACUGUAAUGUUAUUCAGAUGAAAUUCAUUUAGUACAGCAAUGUGAUGCAGAAAUUAUCAACAUUUAUAUAAAGCAUCAGAGCCGUACAUAUCACUUAAACCUAAAAGAGUAACACAGAAUUGCAACUUUUCUGGUCCUAUUUUUCAUGAAUAUCAACAAAUUAUAGAAAACAUUUGGAAAGAAGGAAUAUCUGCUUAGAGAAGUACAGAAACAGCAAGAACAAGUAUAUAACAAAGGACAAAAUACCUAGCUUUACAUAAAAUUUUACUACAUUUUGAGGCAGCUGAACCAACAAAGCUUGUGAGUUCCUAGUAGAAGACUUACAUUUGGCGAAACUGUUCAUCUACUGGCUUAGUAAGAGACCAUUGCUGAGUACUUGGAGCUUGAUGAUUGUAUUGUCGAGCAACGUAUGGUGAAGUCUAUCAAAAGAAGACGAGAAUUUCUAAUAAUAGUUUCUUAAAUCUGAGAUUUGUGAUGUCCACAUUAUAGAGGAAGUGUUACCUUAGUCAUGGCAUAACUAUUCAAAUUUUGCUGUUUACCAGGAUGGUUAACAAGUGACAAAUUCAAUUGAGGCUGAUAACCCCUCUGUUGUUGGUUAAUGUCUUCAAGCUUCCUUUGAACAACUGGCUUAAGUUUCUCAAGCUCAGCCAAGGCAUUCAUUAGUUUCUGCAUAUAAAAAAAGACCAUUGUCAGGUAUAAACCCAUAAAACAAUUACAGGAGCAGAUAAACAGGUGUACCUUCUUCAAAUAAAUCUUGUCACUUUGCAGAGCUGCUCUAUAAUCACGAUGACAUGGUAUUGUCUCAGAGACCAAACUAGAACGCAAGAACAAUGAAGGUCAAUUACAUGUGCCACUUCAAAAUGAAUUUCAGACAUCCACAAACUUGAAAGCACCAUUUUCCUACCAAACUAGAUAGCAAUACAUGCCAAUCAGGGAACACAAUACACAAAGCGACCAAAUACUGACCUUAAGUCACUAAAACUCAAUCUCACCUUGAAUACCUUAGGAGCAUAAUGUACAAAUCAAUUAUAUUAUCCUCUUCCCGAAAGAUGUUAGCCUAAAACAACAAAAAGUGUCAGCUUUUGUUGGGUCCAUUUAUAGCCAAAAAAAAAAGGAUGCGCAUGCACAUAAACUUCUGCUAGUUUAUACAAUUCGAAUGCAUUUGAUUAACAAAGAUUAUGUCUUUGAUAGUUCCUUUAAGAAAGAGCUGAAAGUCGCAAAGGAUGAGACUGAAAGAACAUAAACUAAUGGAUAAUGGAUAUCCAAUCAUAUAUCUAGUAAAAAUUGAUAAUGGAUUAAUUUUACUAAAAAACCAGGACAGCAUUAUACAAGAAUAAUAGAGGAAAUGGGAAAUGGCAAGACUAGUACGACAACAGCUAGAACUGCGGUGUCGUAUAAGCUCUCUUCUGUUGAUUUAGUGCUUGUAUACAUAAAUCAUCAGACACUGCAAGCUCUCUCAUAUCUCAGGUUCUUUUAUAAUUGUUUCAUGCCCAGUGUAGCGCUGGUUUCAAGACCAUUACACAUCUGACAGUGCAAACUUGAAAACAAACAAAUUGACAACAUGGUUGUGAUUAUCACAGUAUAUAUAAGCCUUGGUCAUGCUGCUUCAACCAAGUUUGAGGUUCAAUUUGAACCCAUGUGCAACUAUCAAAGAACACGAGCAAAGGAAAAAAAAUCUUUGAACUGAUUUCUUAAGAAACCAAUAAUAUUCCAAUAUCCCGCAAAAAAGAAACACAAAACUGAGGGUAGCCUUGCCCCUCUUCCCCCCGCCCCCAACCUUGAAAUCCUAAUAUAUCCUCAUUUUUGCCUUCUAUUUUCAAAUCCGAGCUCCACUACAUCCAAAUUUCUUACAUAAUCUGUUAGCAUUGCAGCCACAUCAACCACUUCACUGGUACAACAAAGCAUGCCCAUAUCAAAGUCCAACUCAAAGCACAUUUCCAAAGCGACCCUGAACUAGUUUCUAACCGAUAAGCUAUACGUAGCACCCAUUUUAUAUGAAAUAGAACACGAGCAUAAAUACCAACAAACUCCUUCACAAAAUUCCCAGAGUUGAAAAGUUCCCUACUUUAUUCUAGUUAUUUAUCCUCUGCCUAUACUACAAUAUCAAGUGUUUGUGCAUCAAAGCUAAGACCUUGGACGAAUAAAUCAAGCAACCUAACCAUUUCAAUUUUUCAAACUCAGAACACAUUAAGCAAUUCAAUUUUAGAAGUAUUUCAACAUUCAACCUACAAGUCAAAAUUGCUGAAACAUCUACUCUUCUUUGACUAGUCCUAAAAACUCUAGCUAAUCAUAAUUUUGCUCCUAAAUAUGCAAGUCUACAGCUGAAAUGCAAGCAAGUUCUCCGCAGAAUUCCGCUAAUGUGUAAAUUAAUGCAUAAUUCACCAAAAAAUAAAUAAAUAGGAUUAUAAGUAGUUAUUGUUUCUAAUUGUCCCGUAACUGGCAUAAUCAUACUCAUGGGUGCAUAGUUCACCUGCUUGAGGACAUUAUCGGCGAUGCGAUAGUAGAAUCCCAGAGCGAUUCGAUUGUUGACGUCUAGUUUCCGAGCACUGGAGGCGAUGUUGAUCCUCACCGCCGCCGUCGACGACGAUGACGACGACCGAGUCAUCAUGCUUCUGCGCUUCACUGUUUACCUUUCUUUUCUAUUAUUGGGUUAUGGAGGAAUCGUUGGUGGGCAAGGGCGAAGAGCAUGUUCAGGGUCGGAUCGGAGAGUUCUGGUGGGCUAUGUACCCGAUUUCUCAGCGGCGGAGCUCCAGAUCGCUCUAAACGGCAGAGCUGGGGGAGUAUUUGGGCUGCGACAGGUCAGCAAAGACGUAGAAGGGUAAAAAUGGGUCACAAAAGAUUACGUACAACAGACAAUAAGCAAGAAACAAACCAAGAAAUUCUUAAAAUCAUAAAUCACUCAAAAAAAAAACCCAAGAAACCUCGUCAGCAUAAAUCACUCACACAACGACGACCCAAAAAAAAAAUCACUCAAACAAUAACCCAAAAAAAAAGAAAAGAAAAACCCCAAGAAAGCCUCGCCAUCAUAAAUCACUCAAACAAUAACAAUAAAAAAUGGGUUAAUUUCACAUACCUCUCCCCUGAGGUUUUUAACAAUUGCAGAAAACUUCCCUCAAUUUCUAAAAAUUAUACCUACCUCCCAUAUUUUCACUAUUUAAGUAACAUUCUAGACCCAAAAGGUUAUACUUUUUUCCAAAAUUCUUAUAAUGCCCUUGAAUUAUAAUUCACAACAAAAAUGUAAAGGAAAAAAAUAGUUUACAGUUUCUAUUUUAUUUAUAUUUAUUUCUUACCACUAUUACCUACUUAUCGACAUCUAAAUCACCACUAAAUAAAUACUUAUUUUUGUUUUAAUGUUCCGCUUUUACCUAAAAAUUUUUGAUGCAGACCAUUGUAUCAACUAUAAAUGCUACAUCAUAUAUCCAAAAAUUUACCUACAAUUUUAUAACAAUAUCAGAUUUUACUUAAUAUACUACAAUAUUCAUCAAUAUUCCUAAAUUUCAAUUCCAUGGCUGCCACCUUUUUAAUACAAAAUAAUCUAAACCAUCACUACUAAUAUCAGUAUCCAAUAUAUUCCAUUGGCACAGAGUUCAAAAUCUAUCAAAUUCUCUCUAUAGGAAUAAUAUCAAUAAUUGUAAAUAAAAAAUAGAAACACAAUGCAGUUAUAAAUAUAUAUCAAAAACAUUUUUUUCCAUGAUAACCAUAACAGUAUAACCUAUAUUUAGUUCCUAUUCCACUUCUUAUCCUUAAUUUUUAUUUUUUAUCACUGUCACUAUGUUUAUCUCCAUCUAAUUUGAUAAUGAAAUUAACACUCAAUUUGUCAUUUGGCAAUUUCAAUUUGCCAAUACCUAUCAAAAACUGGAAACAAAAAUGGGCGCAAGGAAAUUAUUUACUAAUAAUAGAAAAAAGGGUCCAGGCAGUCACAUACCUGCAUAAGAAAAAACCCAGAGUCCCAAACAACUUACUUGUCCUUCCCCUCGUUGCAACCAUGGACUCUGGCAUAAGUACAUUCUUCUCCUCCUCUCCUUUUUUCUGUUUUUCUUUGGUUAAUUUUUAUUUCUUAUUUUAUUUUGUUUGGGGGUUUUAGAUGAUGAAGGCGGAAAUGGCGACGAUCUUGAGAAUCUUGUUGGUCACCAGGUUAGUUCAUCCGAAGAGAGUUUAAUUUUUUAAAUUUAGUUGUAUAUGAAUUUUGAUCAGGUCUAGUCUUGUCAAUUACAGCUUCAUCACGGGGAAUCAGAUGGCGAAGAAUGAAUUUCAAUUUGAUAUCUUGGACCCCGCACAUAUACAACUCAACAUCUGUACAAUGCACAGAAACCUUCGAACCCUACUACAAGAUUAUAGUUCUGUCCAUGAGGCCACUCAGCAAGUCUAUGAGGACAUUGAAAAUAUGAAGAAAGUAGCAAGAAUCCUCCCACCUGGACUAUAUUUUCAAAAACAUUGGGUUUAUGUUUUCAAAUUUUGACAUCGAGGUCUGAUUAUUUGCUUAAGAAAAAAUUAAUGGAAGAAAUCAAACAUGCAAUCCCAUGUGGCAGUUAACAAAUCAAUGGGUGUGAUAGUUUCAAAGGUAGAUGACGUAAGGUUGGUGCAUUUACUCUUAAGGGAAUAGAGAAUAGACAAAAGGGGAUACUUUCAUUAUAAUUGCUAGCACAUAUAUUUUCACGCAGCAAAAGGAGAUACUUUUAUUAGUAUAAUUUACACUGAUGAUGAUAUAUAUAGAUAAGAUUUAUUCUAUAUUUUCUAGCAUUAUAUAUUUGGAAGAUUAAAUUAAAAAAUCUUCUUACUUCAUAUGACUAAACUAAAGUCUUUAAUUCAAAUUGAGAUUUUCUGUUAGGGACCAAAUUGAUACUUUCAGAGUAUUUCAAAGGACCAAAUAAAAACGUUUCCAAUUUGACUCAAUUAAAUUGAGAUUUUGGAGACUAAAGGAAAUUUACCAAUAGCCAAACUAGUUAGUUGACUUUCUUUAAUAGUCAUAUUAUGUGGGUCCCAAACUUUUAUUACUGCCAUUGAAUAGAGCCCCCGAUUUCUAGUUUAUGGGUUACGUCUACGGUGGAAACUUCACUUUUCUGCCCAUAAUAGGCAGAAGCAAUGCAAGGAGGCCAACUGUGCUCUGUGGGGACUAGGCCAAUCAAAGCUCGGCUCGAACUCGGUCAACACGAGCUCGAGCUGUUCGUUAAUACAAAUGAGGCGAGCUCGAGUCUUCGUUUUCUUAGGCUCGAUAACUCGACGAGCCGCUCGUUAGGCUCGAGUAAAUGCAAAAUUAUAAAAAUACCCCUGAAUCAAUUAAAAUUUACAACUUAUUUUGUUUCUCACUUCCUCUAUUAGGUUACCUAAUUUUCCUUCCUCAUUUUCUCCAAUCGAAUUUCUUCCUCCACCGACUGUCCCAGCUGCCAAACUCCUAAUUCGUAUUUCCGCCACCGUCAUCUUUGCUAGCUCCACCUCCACCACUUCCGCCAGCUCCUCAGCAACCUCCAAGCUUUCUCUGCUGACUGUCCCAAGUCCCAAGUCCCAAACUCCCAAUUCCCACUUCCGCCAGCUCCACUUCAGCAACCUCCAAGCGGUGCAAGAAGCUGAGUUUCUUUGCUUUCUUUCGUCACAAAUAAUGAAAAAGUCAAAGCAGCAGACCUGCGCAGGGCUUCUUCCUUCAAUAGCGGAGAACAUGGCCAAAGCUCUGCUUUGUCUCACUACCUGGAGAGGCUUCUUCACCCGGUCUUAGAUAUCUAGCCGAUGUCUUCUCACUCUAUCUUGCUUUUCUUAUUUUCCUUCUCUUUAACAACGAAGUUGCUAGGAAAAGUUCUAGAUCCGUGGCGGGCUGAUGGCUCUUGUGAAUAUGAGCAGAAGGAAUUUAGAAUCAUCUUCAAAGAAGUUAGGCAAACCAAGUAGUGGCAGACAAACAUUUGAAGUAGUGGCAGACAAACCAAGCAGUGGACUUUUUUUUGCUGGUAUCUUUUGCUGGACUAUCUUUUGUUUCUUUUGUAGACAAACACAAGCUGAUUUCGAGCUCGAGCUCCUAACGAGCUAGAAAUCUAGCUAAAUUCGAGCGAAACGCGAGCCAGAAAAUCGAGCGAAACUCAAGUUGCUCACAAGCCAGAAUUUGAGCUAGGCUCGCGAGAUAUAAGCGAGUUGAUCUCGAACUUGUCUUUUCCUAAAUCGAGCCGAGCUCGAGCUUCAUUUUACGAGGUCGAGCUCGAACUCGAGCUGGCAUCUAAAUAAGCCUAACUCGACUCGAUAAUUUUAAAAUUUGACUCGACUCGACUCGUUUGCAACCCUAGUGAGGACACACAAAGAAGGAUAUCUGGGCACCACUAGAGAAAACCAGUCGUGCGUAGAUGAAAAAUGUAAUAUAUUUUAAAAUCACAACAAAAGUACUCUUAAAAAUUUGUUUAUCAUCUAAUGCCCAAUACUUAUAUUUGAUAAAUUAAAACAGUUAAUUAAAUAUUCUAUUAUAAUAUAAACAACUAUAUGUCAUUGAGUUGAUUGACUAAUAUUUUCUUUUUCUUUUUUGGCAUUUCAACUAGUUAUCAAUUAAGUUUUAAUUGAAAUAAAGAUUUUAUAAUUAUUUAAAUUAUUCAAUAAAAUUAUCAAUUUAAGAUGAACAUAAAUAUAAAUACAUUAAAUUGUAUUAUUGAAAUAUUUGAUUUAAUAUGAAGGAAAGAUAAGAAGAAAUAGCAAGAAAUUUUUUAAAAAUUCAUGUGAGUACUUUAUAUUGAUAAUCACGUUUACUUGUUAUUGUAAUUACAAUACCUAAUCAUAACCGAUUGAAACUCAUAUCCACAAGUCGUGCAACGAUUUUGUGUUAUACUAUUUACAAUUAAACAUACUACAUACUCAAAUUAAAAUUCUCUUUUUUCUACUAAAUUUUCUUUUAUAUAUGAUUUAUAUGUUAUCAUUUGUUUGUAAUUAAUUUAAUAAAAAGAUGCUCUUUAGGGUAAAUGAUAUGUUUUGACAAUGUGGAUUACUUUUAAGGAUUUUAAUGAGAUUUAUAACACAUUUUUAUGCAUUUAAUCUAAUUCACAUUUUUAUUUCAUUUGAAAUAUAAUUAUUUAAAACAUAAGGGAUCAUAUUGAUCAAUUUUUCAAUUAUUAGGGACCAAAAAAUAUAAAGUCAAAUUUUUGACUAAUUUUAACUUGAUUUUGACAGUUAGAUAUUGUAGUUUUCUAUUAAUUGUUCUCAAUUUGCCUAAAAUUAAAAAUUUGGGACCAUAUUUUAUUUGGUCAAAAUAUCAGGAACUAGUUUAACUCAUAAACCAAACGUUGGAGGACUAAAAUUGCAUAUCUUCCUUUAUUUUAAUCAUGUUUGAUAUCCCAACUCUUCGUUUCAUAUUUAUGCUUCAAUUAUUUCAAAUAUCAAACUCAAUUAAAAAAUAAAAACUAUUACAAUAUUUGUUUUGGCAUGUACAAAAUUCACUAAAUAAUGUUAAAAAUUUCACCUAUUUUCCAUUACAACAAUUUCGUCUAUCAUUUUGUACAUUUGAUUUUCACGUUUCUUUGACAUUCACUUUUUCGCUCUUCACUGUUCAUUGGGAACCGUGUCUCGGUUGGAGUGUUCACAAAAUAUUUUCUAAGUAAUAGGCAUUAGAUGAUGAACAAAUUUUUAAGAGGGCUUUUAUUGCAAUUUUAAAAUUAUUGCAUUGUUUUAUUCAAGCACAAUCGACUUUCUCCUGUGCCCGGUACAUUAUUUCUCUGCCCGUCUUUGUGCGUUCUCAUAGAACACAGUUGGCCUCCUUGCAUUGCUUCUGCCUACUGUGGGCAGAAAAGUGAACUUUCCACCGUAGACAUAACCCUAGUCUGUGAAUGUCCUAUUUAACACCACAUAUGAAUCCGUGUUUGUUGUGUUGUUUAGUUUCUAGUAAAAAUGUGUUUACCAUAAAAAUGUCAGAAACUACUGCACCAUUUUAUAGAAUUUACCCGAGACUACAGGAAGAGAAGAAUAAAGGAGAGAAUAGACAAAAGAUUACAAAAGCUCAUUUGUCUAUGCUCUAUAAUUCUUUUGCUUUAUUGUCUAGAAAUUUCUAGCUUUCAGAUGCGUCCACUAUCUGAUAAAAAAUGAUAAAACAUUCCUUUUUCAAUUCUUUCUUUCUUUUUCUGUUUUUCCUGAAUAUUCCUUGCUCCUAACCAUUACGGAUCCCCGAAUUAUUUCUAGAGUAUCAUUACUCUAUCUUGAGCUAUCUAUCUAUCAUUUCAUAAACUCAUUAAAUUAGCUAGCGUUUCUGGGCAUAUGGUAUUAGUGUUUUCAUUUAGACAUGCAAUCCUGAUCCAACGACAAUGCUUAUGGCCCUCCCGUCUACUAUUUUCAUUAACGAAACAAGAAACUGGUAGUCUGUCACGUAUCUAGGUACGGCAGCAAAAGCUCAUUAUAAUUGCUAGCAUAUGUACUUUCACGCACAAAAGGAAAAAGAAAAAAAAUUAAGCCAAUAAAAAUGUAAGCGCAGAACAGAACACUGUCAUCAUUGCAAGCCAAUAAAGCCACUCCAGCAUUACAACAAUGACAGUAUCCAAGACCAGAAUACUUGUUCAUCUAUCCAGCCGAUAUUAACAACGUAAAUUAUCAAAAGCAACAACGACCUAUCAAAAUGAUCAAUACAUAUUUGUUAAUAACAGUAGGACAUCAAUCCAAGCGUUAUUUUAGGAAUGCGCAUCUCCUUCUUGGUCUGCUCUAGCUCUUUCUCCUGCUGCUCCUUCAGUAUCUCAAGAACACACUUCGCCUCAAAUCUUCUGCAUUCCCCUCUCCUUUUCUCCUGCUGCUGCUUGUAUAGUCUCUCAAGAAAACACUUAGCCAAAUUGUUUUGCAACUUUGUGAGAUCAAAUUGACGUGAGGUUAAGUCGGCCAACCAUAUCCCACGAACAUCCGUUACCAUACGGAUAAACUUCUUUCUUCCAGUAGUUGAUAAAUAAUCAAAAUAAACAACCCACUCGGCUUUGUGGCCGAGGCAAUUUGAAGGGUGCAAUUUAACUAUUUGGUUGACAGUCAGUCAAGUAGUAGCCAGUUAGGUGCUCCAAGCGAGCCACCUACGUGAUAUAGCCAGCUAAAAUGGCUUUUCUAAUGUUGAUAUAAUAGUUAGGGCUGUUGACGUCUGUGCUACAUAACUUAAGUCCAGACCUGACCAUGAUGCGAGAUAGGUGCUCUCUUGCAUUUUCAGCAUCUACAAGUACUCUGUGAUUUAUAAAAUUUCUUUCACACCAAAACAGGUCCUCCUUGUUCUGCCUGUAUCCAUUAUAAACAUUUAACAGCAUAAGAUAAUCCCCAUCACCAUGAGCGAAGCAAGCUCUUGCAUCAUCUGCAGCAAUUAAAGCCUCUUAAGGCCGGAUAAAGCAAUUUGGAACCAGAAGCAUGGCAGAAACAGAGAGGUUCAUUGGAGCAGUUAAAACCUAAGCUGACAACAAGCAUUUUAGCCAUAUUUGGAUCCACGGGAAAUUCACUCAGAAUCUCACCCAGUCUGGUCAUGUUCCCAUCAUUAUCCAAGGCAUUCAAGUACUUCAAUACCUCUACUGCGCUCAUUAAUGACUCCCGGGCUGGAGGGUCCAUGAAAUUAAAAUGGACUAUAUCAUCUAUCCCAAGUUUCUUCAAAGUAAGAACAAUGCUUACCAUAUUAGAUCGAGUUAUUUCUAGUGUUGUAUGUGGCUCGAGGUCAUUGUGAAAGUUUUUCUCUAUGUAGAGCCUAAAACAUUUCCUGGUUGUGUUCUUCCAGCACAACUGGAUAUUUGGUAAACACUUGCCUUUGAUAUCCAAGAAACAAGGUACUCUGUGCCUACUCAAGGGUGCACUUUUCGCUUGGAGAGACCUAAAUCUACAACAUAAACUAUCCCAUCUAUGGCCAAAGAAGUUUCAACAAUAUUUGCAGAGACAACAAUCUUCCUUCCAGCAGUGCCACCUUUCAGCAGUGAAGCAGGAGCAGGUUCAAAGACAUCUUGUUGCAUGGCCAGAGGAAGUGUAGAGCAAAGAGGAACAACUUUUAUAGGUCCAACCUGACUUCCUAAAUUUACCAUUUCCAAGGCAAUCCUACGACAAACAUCUUAAAUCUCCUCUUCUUCCUCAUUGAGAAAAACAAGUAUGUCUCCAGGGGGUUCAAAACUAUGAAUCUGCGAAAGAGUCUAAAUAACUGCCUCCAGGUGAUUAGUCUCAGGCUGCUGCUCCUGAAGUGAAUAGACGAUAUCUAUAGGGUGAAGCCUUUGAGGGACUUCCACGACAGAUGCAUCACAAAAAUACCUUCUAAACUUUUCAGCUUCGAGAUUAGUGGCACUCAUAACCAUUAGCUUGAGAUCAUCGAGUCUUUUUUUCUGCAGUUUCUUAAGUAGCGCAAGGAGAACAUCUAUUUCCAGCGUUCGUUGGUAGGCCUCAUCAACAAUGAUCAUUUUGUACCUUUCCAGCAAUGGAUCUGUCAUAGCCUCUCUCAGAAGCAUAUCUGUUAAGUAGUUCAAAACAGUAGUUGCACUAGUGCAGUUUUCAAAACGAACAGAGUAAUCAACUUCCUCUCCAAGGGUCAUAUCCAUCUCUUUAGCAACUCGUUGAGAAGCAGACAUCGUAGCAACCCUUUGAGGCUGGGUGCAGCCAAUCAUGUACUUGCUCCCCUGACUCUCUGAGGUGGUGGUCUGGGUAUCAUUAGUAACAGCCUCCAGCACAAAUUGAGAAACCUGUAAGAGAGAAGUGGAUAAGAAACAGAUGUACUAGUAGGUCUUAAAGCACAAAAAACUCAACUAACAUAGAAAUACACAUUAGGGAGCUAAACAAAGAAAAAAAAAUGCCAGUACUUUGUGAUUAGGAAAAAUAGCUGACACCAACAAAACAAAGGAAAACAGCAAAACCUAAUGAGGGGUCCAAUUCUAGCUCGUUACCAAUCACAAACUCUAUAGAUGGCUCCCAACAACACAACAAACCAACCAUACAAGAGUCAGUAAAUCAUGUAAUGCUAUUAACCCAACCAAUUGAAUUUACGGGACCGUAUAUACAUAGUCCUAUAGGCCAGUAGGUAGAGGGUUAAAGAAACAGAAGGCUGAGGCAGAGUCAAAAAAUUAACUCGAUCGCAGAAUCCUUGAAAGAAAGACAUAACACUAAGGUCUGCAAUAUAAAGUAGUAAAAAUCUAGAUAACCGAGAGCUAGACAGAGACAUACCUGGGUGGAUUUGCCGCUACCAGGUUCAGCGACCAAGAUUAGGGCUUGAUGUCGUGUAAAGACCUUCAGGAACUCAUCCUUGUGCUGCCAAAUUGGGAGACUACCCCUCUUCCCCAGAAUCUCAUUGUGCAGGCCCCACCUACUACAUCUCCGGCCAAAGUUUCUAGUCGCCUCCACCACGUGUCCACCCUCGCCGACCAACUUCGCAAGUUCAAUUUCCGUCCCAAUUUCCAUCUGAUACAAACACGCCCCUAAAACCCUUAAUAGAUAGAGAGAAUAAAUUGAUGACUCUUGAUCAGCAAGAGAUGACUGACCAUACUCAAUUACUACUUUUGGAGACAAAACCUAAAUUACUACUACGAUGAUAAGAAGGUUACAGAAAAAGAUAUAUGUAUAUAUACAGGGUAGUGAAGUUCUUGAAUCCUGGAAGGAAUAAGGUUCGUCCGCCGAUUCAAUUUUCAACCCGGAAGAGGACGUGGAAAUUUCAGAGAAGUACAGAAACUCGACAAACACGUCAUUUUCUGAAAGACAACGAGAAAAAAAAAUGGAAAAUUGCAGCGCUUAAUCUGGGCUUCGACAGCCAAGUCACACUGGUUACAAACAGAACACGCCUACCGAUUCAUUCAAUCAUCUACCCAUGUGUUGUUAAUUGAACCGACCUAUAAGUUAUGGGCUUUGUUGUUGUGCCCAAUUACUCCUGUUGCUGUUCCAUUUUCUCAGCCCCUUUUUGGUGGAAAAGAAAAUUUGUUCGAAAUAAGUCCAAGGCAAUAGCAUUUUGUCUGUGAACCAAACAAACCCAUAAAAUUUGAUGUUAAUCUAUGGCGGGCAAUUUUAGAACUCCUAUCUAUAUCUUCAGUCAUAAGGGUAAAGUGGUCCAAUUAUUUUGAAAAAUGAAGCGCUUUCUAAAUUAGAAUAUUUUUUAUUUGCAUUCAAAUUACCCUAAUAUUCAUAACUAUUUCACUUUUCCAUUUCUCAAUUCCAUGCUAUAAUUCCUGUACAAUUUUAAUUCCAAAGUCUUCACAAUUUUUUUUUUACUUUCUACAAUCUUGAAUCUCCUUCCAUUUUGUUAUCACGUACAAAAUGUUUUAAGGGUAAUAAUUGUUAUCGUAUGCAUUCAAAUUCACAUAGUGGGUUGAGUGCGAUUUAGACAUAUUAAUGAUUAACUAUUACACACCCAUUAAAAAAAUAUCCAUUAUGAUACAUUUCCACAAGUAAUAAAUUCAUUCUAAAUAAAUAUCUACCGUAGUAAGGAGGUUAUAAAACAAUUGUUCUAAUUAAUUAGUAAAAGAUUUGUCUCAGUUCAUUUAUAGUUUCUUAACUGCAUUUUGGCCCCAAUAAUAUGUUAGUCUAAAAAAUUCUCUAUCCAAACAAAAUCAAAAGGGACGUCCCUAACUUUUUUAAAAAGUUAGGAGUUAAUCGAGUGUGUUUGGAUAGAGUAUUAUUUAAAAUAAUUAUUGUAAUAUUUUUUGUGAUACGAUGUAUGUGAAAUGAAAAUAUAGUUAAAAAAUAUAAAAAAGAUAAGUUAAAAAAUGUAUUUAUAAUGUAAACGAAAUAUUAUUUAAAAAAAAAUUAGCUAUCCGAAUUAUUAUUAGCUACCCCUCUACUUUUCUUUUCUUCUUCUUCUCUUUUUUGAUUUAUCAAAAUCUAGACUUUUUUUUUUUGUUUUUUUGAAGGAAUCAAACGCUAGACUUGAACCGAGAAUGGAUCAAGUUGGAAUUAUCAAGUAGUCCAAUUCCAACUUGCAUUUGAAGUGUAUGAUUGGACAAUAAAACGUCACCUGCUUUGACAACCCGACUUGUAUUGGUCGAUGAAACAUAAAACUUACUGCCAAGUGCCACUGCCAACCAACCCAAUCCGGCAAACUAGUACAGAGUAUAGACAGCACAAGGAGAAGGUCUGUAAUUCUUGGACAUCUGAAAAGUCAACGGGAAAGUAAAUUGUGUAAACGUGUCCAGAACUUCAAAUUAUACAUUCAUCCCGGUCCCGGGAAACUUCUGAGUACAAUUCAAAACCAAACUAUCUUAGUUGUCUAUCUUCGUUGUCUCCAUUCAUCUUCUCUUCUCAUUCUUAGCCGUUACUGUUGUUGGGUUCUCAAAAUUUUCUAAAGAAGUACAGUAGUAUGGAGAGUAGAUUCUUGUCCUAAUUUGGAGUUGCAGGGAUUCUUGAUUCAAGUCUACAUGGGUUUGAUCUCGAAUUGCUGUUCUUGCUUGGCUAAAUUCCUGAGACGGGGUGCCUCCGCCAAGGCCGACGAGGAUGACGCUGAUGAAGAAGCUGCAUCGGGUUUGUUUUUCCAGCUUACGGCUCUGCAGAUUGCUACCAAUUUCUUUUCUGAUUUAAACCGGCUCGGUCAUGGUGGCUUUGGCCCUGUUUACAAGGUAAGGUAAUCAUUAAUCAAGAAAUUCAGAUUUCCUUCUUCUUUUUUUUUUUCCUUUGUGAAACAGGAGAUUUCCUGCUUUUAAACAUACAUGUCAUUUUCUGUUCAGAGAUUGUUAAUUUUCGUUCUUUUAGUGUUAUCCUGGAAGUGAAUUGCCCAUAAUUAGUUCUUGUUAGACCUCUUUCAUGAUUAUUGUAGCACAUAUUUUUCUGCAUGCUUGGCAAAUUGGUCAUAUAGCUUCAUAAUUAUGACAUUGAUUCUUUCAUACUAUUUCCUGUGAUUCAUAAACUUCCUACGUUAAAUGUAACAAUUUUGGACACGGAAUUGAGAUAUAGUCAAGUGAACACGUUGUUGUCUAGUUAGGUUUUCGGUACAGUACUAUAGCCUCUAUUCAUUGUGAGUUGUUACACAUUUAAUGGUAGGCAAUUUCUCUUCCACUGAAUGUAUAAAUUUGUCUGCAUAUUUGUGCUAGUACUACUAUACAUAAUAGUGGACAAAGUCCGAAAAUUUUUUACAGAAUAUGGAAUUCCCCACCUUUUUUAACCAGGGCAUGUUGGAUAUGUAUGUUUUCAGUUUGUGGUUGUUGUGACUUUCCCUGCUAUAUAUUCUUACUGGGUCAGAGUUUUAGGUGCAUGGGUUAUGUACUUUGACCGUUGAAAAUGACAUUGAUUUGGUUGCACCUAAUGACAAAUUCAUAGAGUUUGGAUCAUUAUAGAGAUUUCAACUAGGUUGUAUUUGACCAGCCAGUAAAAAAAGUAACAAGUUAAUUUCUUUGGAACUUCUUCCACGACCUGCUUUGAAUUUGAACGAGGGUUUGACUAUGUAGAUCUAGCUUAUGACUAGUUAUUGUGCAGUUACUUUUUUUACGAUUAAAUUUUUUGUGCUCAUAGCGAUAGUAGAAGAAAGCCAUGUCCUUGCUGUGGACCUGCCUCAGAUAUAGUUUCAGUUUAUGAAGCAGUUUGUGAGGAGGCGAGAGAGUUCAAGCGUUUAUAAGGAGAUAUAAAACAAAAGAUCUUAAAUGGUAGCAAGCAUUUUGUGCACUUUUUUUGUUACCUUUCUACUUUACUAGUUGCAAGGAACAGAAACGGGGAAACCUAAUUGAUAAACUUCCUGUCAAGAAUUUCUACAAGGGAGAAUCUAUUAUAUUGUCUUAAGAAAUAUUGCAGGACGAUCACAUUUGCCUGCAUAAGUAUGUGAAAAAAUUGACAUUUCUGAUGUGUUUCAACUCGAUUUGGGUUGAUUUGAACCAUGAGAUGAUAUUUGUAUAAGAGACAAGUAUGAAACAAUAUGAUACCAGAACGUAGUUAAAGAGUCCUUUCUCAGUUUUGAGUACCCAUUCUUUUUGCUGAUGGGACUAAUGGUUGGGUUUAUUUUUACAAUUAGGUUGAUUGAAGUGAACAACUUUGACCAAUCUAUUCUCAUUUUGUUGAUUAAGCUAUUGAACUAAACCACUCGUAUUGGUUUCUUCUUUUCCUUGAACAAGAGUCUCUUAGUCCUAAGUGCAUCCUUUAAUUGAAUCUUCAUAAUUUUCCUCCACCUUCAGGGAUUGAUGCCAAAUGGUGAAGAAGUAGCUGUGAAGAAAUUAUCAUUGGACUCUAGACAGGGAGUAAGGGAAUUCGCUAAUGAAGUGAAACUUCUACUGAAAAUUCAACAUAAAAACCUAGUCACAUUGCUGGGGUGUUGUGUAGAAGGACCUGAGAAGAUGCUUGUAUAUGAAUAUCUUCCAAAUAAGAGCCUUGACUUUUUCCUUUUUGGUAAAUAUCUUGUCCAUUUUAAGAAAUUUUAAUCAAACACUCCAUCCUCUCAAAGCAUUACAAAAGUUUGUAAGCUGGUGCUUUGCAGAUAAAGAGAAGUCUCCAUCCUUGGAUUGGACAAAAAGGCUGCAAAUAAUUACAGGUGUUGCAAGGGGGCUUCUCUAUCUACAUGAGGAAGCCCCUGAAAGGAUUAUCCACAGGGAUAUCAAAGCUAGUAAUAUAUUGUUGGAUAAUCAACUGAAUCCAAAGAUCUCAGAUUUUGGUCUGGCAAGACUUUUUCCGGGGGAUGACACCCAUUUGAAUACGUUUAGGAUAUCUGGUACUCAGUAAGUUUCCAAUUAUCUUUUUCUGUUUAUUCUCCACUCAGUACCACUCACUAUCACUGAUAAAGUGUUGUCGGCAUAAUAUUCUGAGAACCUAGCAUCUCUAUCACUGCAGUGGUUAUAUGGCACCAGAAUAUGCACUGCAUGGAUAUUUAUCUGUGAAGACGGAUGUUUUUAGUUUCGGUGUUUUGGUUUUGGAGAUAGUAAGUGGAAGGAAGAAUCUUGAUGGGCGGCUAGGAGCUGAAAAGGCGGACCUCUUAAACCAUGUAAGCAACCUUCCCAUGUUUAACCAGUCAAAUGCUGAAUUGUUAGUCCACAUAGGAUUCAUGUGCUGAUAAUAGAAGUUUAAGAGUCUGAUCACUUGGUUCUUUUCCAGGCUUGGACACUUUAUCAAGCUGAGAAUGCAUUGGAAUUAGUUGAUGCAGGCCUUAACAAGUACAAUGCUGUUGAAGCAGCAAUGUGCAUCCAGUUGGGUUUGCUAUGUUGUCAAGCUAGUGUUGCAGACAGGUUGGAUAUGAAUUCAGUUCACCUCACAUUGUCUAGUGACUCGUUUAGCCUACCCAGACCGGGAAAACCUGGGAUUCAAGGCCGUGUAGGACGGUUUUCUCAAACUGGUUCCACAGCUUUUACUGAUAAAACCAACACCAACACCAACACCAACACUACCACCACACAUACUGGUGCCACCAAGGUUUCCUCAGCUAAUAGUUUUCUCGAGGAAUUUUCCAGGAAUUCAAUCUCCUAUUCUUCUCUGGACGAAGGCAGAUGAAAUAUGCGUGAGCUUUUUUUCAUUUUAUUUUUCCAGUAUAGACAGGAUAGCUUUUCUCCCUUCUUCCUCCUUUUUCCUCUCCCUCGCACCGCCGUUCGCGAUUUGUUUCCUUUUCGAGUUAUUUUGUAGAAUGUUAUCAUUCAUUCUUUCUCAGUAUAUCCCCCCUCCCCCUCCCCCCAAAGUUCGUUGUUUAUACUACUAGAAGAAGAUGUACAAUAUUUGAUAUUGUCUAGGAAAGCUGGCUUGUCCUCUGGUUAACUGAUUAUUAUAAAUUCUGAUUUUGGGUAAUAAAUUUUUUGUAAUAUUCUUGUUUACUUUUAUAUUUAGAUUAUAGUUAAAAAAAAUUAAAAUUCAUAAUCAACCGAUCAGUAGCUUUUGGUGAUUGUAAUUAUUCUCCCUAAUCACUUCUCAGAUUUUCCAAAAUUUAAAAGCAAACAAGAACAAGGCUAUGCUGAUAUAUUACCUAGCUUUUGUAUGCUAAAUUAAAUUGUUCACCAAUAGUUACUUCUCAUCCAUGCAAAGGAAGAGUAACUAUGAAGUUCAAUAUUCCAGUUCAACGUGUUUUCCUGAUCUCCUUCUAAUCAGAAGAAUGCAACUGAUACUAAAAAAAGACUUUUUAAUGUUCAAAGUCACAACUUUCUACAGAUUACAAAUUUACAAAUUUUUUUUUUUUUUUUUACACUUUCUAUUUUCAGCUGAAGUCUAUAUCAGCUCUUUGAUCUGAUAUUCUGAAAAUCAACUUCCUCACUUUUGGAAGAUAAAUUAAAGUAAACAAUAAUACAAUUUUUUAUUUACUUUUUAUUUUCAACUGAAGUCCAUAUCAGCUCUUUGGUUUGAUAUUCUGAAAAUCAACUUCCUCAAUUUUGGAAGACAAAAUAAAGUAUCAAGAUUUUAUUAUUACGAUUAAAAUGGCAAGAUUUGGUCAAAUAACCCUUCAACAAAUGCUAGAAAUUGGUCGAAAACAAGACAAUUGAUGUAAUUUUCCUAGUUGGGCGGUGCAGCAGUCAGGAACACCGUUCCCGCUGCCCAUUUCGCGUCAGUACAAAAAAUUAAUACCGCGCGUAUCUCUAGUUAGCUUAGGAAUCUGUUUCAAAGAAGAGAAAAUUGCAAUUUUGGUAUCAAAUGUUUGGAGCAUCCACGAUUUUAGUCCUUAAAAUUUGGACAAAAGCAAAUGUAGUCCUAAAUGUUUCAGUUUGCAAGCGUUUUUUAUUUCCGCAAAUUGUUACCAGAAUUUGAUCAAGUCAGUAGCAAGUGUCGGCGGCUAAAUUUUGAAAAAAAAAUUAGGAAAAAAUGAAGAAGUACUGGUAGCCAUAAUCUAAAAUUAAAGGGCUCUAAUUAGUCACAUUCUGAGUAAUUAAUGUUUAUUCUUUAGCCAUAUGACUACUCUGCAUACUAAUAAUUAAUACUCUUUAAUUAUAAAUUAUGAUCACUAAAAUUUUUUUUUUAUUUAAAUUUAGUUGCCGAUGCUACUUAUAUGAUCGAAUUCCAGUAACUGUUUGACAAAAUCAUAGGAAUUAAAAUAUUUAAAACUAGUUUUGCUUUUAUCCAAACUUUAAGAACUAAAACUGCCAAUGUUCCAAACAUUUGAUACCAAAACUGCAAUUUUCUCUUUAAAAAAUGUAUUUCACUUUUUCAGCUCAACUCCCAAAAACACCCACUUCAAUAGAUCGUUCUUCAGUUUAACUGAACUGAGCAACUGCGGUGUGAGCACCACAGUUUCCAAAUCUUCAAACAAAGGAAGCACUACUGACCAGUAUUUAGUUUGUAGGAGAAGCCCAGCUGGGCUUCUUCUCAAUUUGAAGAAUAUAGUUAUAUGCUUGGGUGCCGAUUGCUACGUACUAGAUUAAUACUAGCGUAGUAAAAGGAUUUUGUACUGAUAUUCAAUGGCCAAUUGGGAGUUGAAGCAUUGCUGCAACCAUGAGCAAGUGGUCUUCCUCACCUUUCUUGGUGUCUGUAGUGUUGUCAUCCUUGCUGUACUCAUCUCUCUCUCCCUCUCUGUUUCUCUACCUCACACACACACGAAAACGCAGGGUUGAUUCUUAAAUAUGCUGUGAAUGGAAUAAAGUUUAUUAAUUUGUUAAAAUGCACUUCAUUUUUGUGGUCCAUUUGAUGGGUUUCUUCUGAAAAAAUGUAAAAAGGUUUAUACUUUAACCGUUUUUGUGCAUCUUUUGGGCUAAAAAUUGUAGUCCAUUAACUGGUGUUUCAUGGCCUUCCUAAGAAUUAUUAUUACUUUAUCUGUCCUUGUUUAUCUAGUCAUUACAAUCAAUUAUCUAGUCCUUGUUUAUCAGUUUGUGAAUACUUUAUCUGGACUGCAGCUUUGGAGGACUGUAUUGAUGAUGCCGUUCAAACUUAUAACUGUCUUUAUUCACGAAGCUAGCCAUGCCAUUGCUUGCAAACUUACUUGUGGCCAUGUAAGAACUGAUUCUCUCUCUGUCAUAUUUUGAGUUUCGACUUGAAAGGAUACCCAAAAAUCUUGACCAUAGCGUGUAGAUUACUGAUUUGGCAACCUGGCAUUUGAGUACUAAGUGAAAGAUGGAUCCCAAAGUUCAUGGCAACUUGUUGCAGUAGUUACUUCGACCUUUUUGGCAACGCUGUGGUACAAUGUUACCAUGUUCAUCAUAUGAGGUUCCUGUGCUGGUCUAUAUAUGAUUUACCUGUAUGAGAAUAGUUGUGUGUGUUGCUAUUCAGGUGGAAGGGAUACAGGUUCAUGCUGAUGAAGGUGGCGCUACACAUACACGUGGUGGAGUAUACUGGUUUAUCCUGCCUGCUGGAUGUAAUUCCUCUCAUAUUCUUGAUAACGUCUUCUAACUCGAAAAUUGUAAGAUAUAGUCGUUGAUUAUGUAACAAUAUGAUGGAAUCAAAAUACGUUCUUUGGCUUCUACAGAUCUUGGUUCGUCAUUUUGGGGAAUGGUUUUGAUACUUGCUUCUACAAAUCUUCUUACAGCUAGAAUUGCUGCUGGAUGUUUAGCUGUAGCUUUAGUCAUUGUACUUUUUAUUGCAAAGAAUGUAAGUGAUUAAUGAUUUCAAUAAGUUUCUCUGUUAUGCAUAUGAUGCUGCAGCGGCUUUUGGACAUUGCAUGUUGCUCUUAGUUUCUAAGCCUAGAUCUGCAAAAUCUGCAUGGUGGGACUUUGCACCUGAAUGAGCUAAACUGAGAAUGAAAAGCAUGUCUUAAUGGUAAUGAGAGAACAUUGUCUGAAUUGAUUUUAGGAAGAUAGGAAUGUUGUUUAUUUGCAUGUACAGUAAGCAGGAAGCUUGUUCAUUGAUGAAAUUUGUGAUCAUUCGUCUCGUUUGCUUAUGAUUGCCCUUUAGAGUCAUCCAACCAUAUGUAAUCCACUAAUUAUGGCUAUUUUAUUGGUUAACAGUGGACACUUCGCGGGCUUUGUAUUGGUAAAACCUUUCAGAUCUGGCAGAUAUUCCAUCAUCUGGAACUUAAAAAAGUACUGAUCUUACUGAUAUCUUCGAUUCAAAUUAACAGGAUUUAUAAUUUUCAUUGUUAUUGUCUGGGUUCUGCAAGAAACAACAAGGAUUCGCAUUCUUCGGUACAUCAUCCUAUUCAUUGGUAUGUGUGUUUUCCUUGCAUUUCCUGCUUAAGAUAACUCAUGUAACUGCCCUAUCCUCCCCUGACCGUAGACACGCACAGAACUCAGAGAGAGACUUCUCCAUACUGUGGCGAUAUGACAUUUGAUUACUUUGUUUGGCAAAAUGCAGGUGUCAUGAACAGCUUGUUUUCCAUUUAUGGUAUGAUUUACACAUAUAGAAAACUCAUAACACGUGCACCAAAUGCUGGAUAAUUAUAGGUUCUCAUAUUGGAUUUUUGCAGACAUAUAUGGUGAUCUGAUAUCUCGUAGAGUCCACAUUAGUGAUGCUGAGAAGUUUGCUGAGGUGUGCCCAUGUCCUUGCAAUGGCGUUGGUUGGGGUGUCAUCUGGUGAGCAUAGUUGUUAGCACCCUGUAGGAACAUCAAUCAGAAGAUCUUUCUCCCUCACUAGUUUUAAAGUUUUUAGAUUGAUGUUACAUUGCUGACUUCAAUCAUUCAAAAAUUUCAUUUUCAGGGGAUUUAUUUCUUUGCUUUUUCUUUGUGCGGCUGCAUAUCUUGGUAUGGUGAUCCUGUCCUGAGGUAUGGCUAAAGCUCUAUAGAAGUUCUGAACACUUCACCAAAACUGCUUGCUACACAACAUAGACAUAAAACAAGUAAACAGGUGCAUAAUGCACACAUUGCAUUUACUGAUCAUAGAAUGCAGGAGAAAGUUUUAGAUAUCUUUUGUGCUUAUUCAUGUGCCAUGUUUCUAAUACUAUUUUGCUGGCUGGAUCUAUGCACACAUAUAUAGGCAGAGCUUAUUCCCUGCCAACAUUUGUAUUCACCAACUCUCCCAAAAGGUGCUAAUCCCCUUAGUAAAUUCCACUAACGUGAAAACACACUUUCUCCAAGGACAAGAGAAUGGGAGAAAAGCAGGGAUAGAAAGUUAGGGACCCUGCCAUUCAUAGGCAGAACUGUCAUGUUUCUGGGUUUUAUCUCCAUUUUGACAUGAGAUUUUUCUCCUGCAGCCUUGUCAAACCAACCCUUUAUAGACGCAAGUGACAACUGUGAGACAAAGGAGCAACACGGGUGCACUUCCAUGAAACUGUAGUACAGGGUCAAAUGCAGAUACAAGAUUCCAGAAUCAAGUUUAUACUCUUCUGGACCUCAUGAAGAAGCUCAAUAUCUGAUCUUUGAGGAACAUUCAUUGGAUACCGUAGCCGUGUUACAAAGUUAAUAUGCCAACAUUCUAGGGAACCACGAGUUGGUUGUUUGCCAAAUUGCUGUGCCUUGUAGCUUUCAUGAUGGAUUAUACUAAUUGUUUGACAUCAUAUGCCACGGGCUAGUUAUUAUCUCGUGUUUAUACAGAUGCAUAUUUAGAUGCAACUACAACAUAAUUAUUAAGUCUCUCGUGCUCUUUAUCUUCCGAACUUAGCGUUUUGUCUCCAUACUAACGUAUUUGCUAAUUUGAAUAUUGGAAAAAUCAUGCCAUUUCGAUAAAAACUAAUGCAAGGCGAAGAAAUACAAGGGAUCAAAUGUAUCAAAGGAGAAGAAUUUUCUUUUUCUUAACUUUGGGUGACAAGAAGAUCGCGAACUAAGACUCAGAACAGAACAAGGAACUUGAAAGUGACACCACUAGAAAACCUAGGGCAUUAAAUCUAGAUUGAGACUCUAUCAAAGACUUGGACAUCGGAUAUCAGAAUUUGCAGGCAUCUUGCAUGGAUAAUUUAAUAAAUUGACAAAUAAAGAUCCGAGAGGGCAUAAUAAUCUCAGCAGACAUUUUUGGCUUGAGAGCAGAACGAUACAGAUUGAGAACCAACAUUUCAUACUUUUCCACGAAACUCGGAACAUCUUCCAUACAACACAAGCACUGUACCAUCCAAGUAUAUAAUAUUCAGCAGUGAGAGGUUUGCCUGACGAUUCCAUUGCAAAGAAUUGAAAAACUUCUUCAACCAUUCAGAAUCCCAGAACAACCGCUAUAUAUUGAAAAGAAAGAAAACUCGUUGGCAAGCGUCACAAGUUCAGCAUAUUCUAAAACAUAAAUUUGAGCGUCAAAAUUUCAAAAGAGUUGCACCAAGUAGGAUCUUAAAGAUCUACACAAAAUAAUCUGGUACUAAAUCUAAGCUUCCGCCAUUGGGAACUCAAACACGACAUCUUUGCCAGAAAGCUUUCUGUAAACAGCAGCAAAGGUCUCUAGCUUGUAUUCUGUGUUGUUUCUUUCCUUGGGGUCCAAGAAAACCUGUCAAGAAAAGCAACAAAUAAGGGCUAAUCUUCUAAAUUUUGAUUAUUAAACAAACAUUAUACUGUACACCAUUACUGUGAACCAUACUCAUGCUCCACAAGAAGGAAAAGUGUCAAAAGCAAGAAAAGACUUCAUAAAUAAAAAUCAGAAAGCCUCCAAAGUAGAGUCUUUAUGUCAUACUUUUUAGAGUAAACGAAAGAUGCAUAUACACUUCAAGUCAAAGAAAAAUUAUGACAGUGACUACUUUUGACUGUCGUCAAUUGUGCAUCUAAUCCCACUACACCAAUUAACUUGAUCACUAAACAACCAAAAAACUGUACAGAGGUAUGCUAAUCAUUACCAAACACAUACCUUCAUUAUCUUAGAUCCAUCAAUGCGAUACCUAACACGCUUCCCAACAAUCUCAGCAGGGACAACAACAUCCUCUAGCAUGGCAUCAUGCACAGCAGUUAGAGUCCUGCUGCGGGGGCGCUGAACAGCAGAACCUUUCUUUGGGGGCCUCAGAAUCCUACGGGUUGCAAUCAAAAUCACAUCCUAGAAGUCAUAGUUCACAGUUAGGACGGCAUUACAGAAAGAGCUUCAAGUUAUGCACACACAAAUCAAAUGUUAUGGUUCAAUAAGCAACCCAGAAUGUUGUUCUUAUACAGUACAAAGAGAGGGAGUUAUGAUAAGGACAGCCACUUCAGAAGCACUCCAAAUUUUACAAAAUAUAGUAUAAUUAGAAAUAAAUGCUCGAACUCAUUAAUUAAUGCCCUCCACAACAAAACUUUUAUUAGUCAUAAAGCCUCGAGCCAAAAUGUAAGCUCAGAAAGAUGUUUAAUCAGUUCAAUUCCCUGACCUAGGAAGGUCUCAUAAUGAGCUGGAAUUAACACUUAUCAUCAUUGCCACAUCAUAUGAUCUAGUGGAGAAGAGAAUUGUUCCCACAAAGGUAUCAUACGUAUGUUGAGCAGUGAACAUAUAUGCACAAGACAAUGUUCAAGGAAAUAUGUGACUCACUCUGAAUGACCUAAAAUAUUUCAAGUAGAAAAAGAAAGGCAAAAUAAUACAGGUACCUUCCCACUGAACUUCUUCUCCAGCUCCCUGACAAGCCUAACGUGAAUCUUUCGGAAAGCUUUUCUCAGUCUGUAAGGCACAUGGAUUACAACAGCUUUCCUAUUUCCUGAGACAUCAAUUUGGCUGCAGAAAGACGACAAGGAAUUAAACAUCAGAACCAUUCAAAGGCCAAAUACCUUCAAGUGGCUGCAAAUAUUAAGCUAUUCUUACAUAGCUGAAUUGAUGUACAAAUCCUUCAAGUCACUUUUGAGCUCUUGGUUGGUGUUCUCCAAAUCAAACAAGGCCUGCAUUAGAAAGUUGUCAAAACCAGUAUGCCCAAAUGCACAACUAACAAAUUUGGCUUAGCAAAAAGCAAAAGAACCUGUGCCACAGACUCUUCAAAUUCUGAAGGUUCAGCAUCCUUAUCCUUGUGGAUCUUUUUCCUCGAUGUAUACAUCUUCACAGACCUAUUUGAAAUGAUUGAUUGCGAGUCACAAGUACAUUCAAAUGGAGAAAAGAAAACCAGUAUAAAAGAAGGAAGGUCCAUUCUUGUUCAGAGACUAUGUAGGAAAAUAGUCAAAUAUUGCCUAACAGAAGCAUUCAUGGAAGCACAAAAACGAGUAAGUGGGUUUACUUUUGCAUUUAGCUUUAGCUCAUCUACAACUAGUCAAGAUAACCGAAUAAGCUCCAGAUGAAGAUGUACAAAAAUCAUGAACUUGUCCUCUAAGUUUCAAAACAUAGGAUCUACUUAAAGAAUCACACUUGUCAGCCAUAACUUACGAACGGCCUUUUCUAAUAUAAUGAAAAACUAAGAGCACAAGCAAAAGUAAAAUGAAGUGCUCCAAAACAUCUUGGUAGCAGAAGAGACGCUGAAAUGCUCGUGUUUUGUGCAAAAAGAAAACAAGCCCAAGGAACUCUAACCUAAUUCUUAUAUCGUUCAAAAUAAGGCUUAAAAAUUUAAAUCAGCAUUCUGAGGCAACAAAAAAGAACUACUAAGUGUCACAUCCCACAUCAACAUCCGAACUUAAUCAGAUUAACAUUUUGCAACGAGUUCCAUUAAACGCCCGUAAGCACAAUUUCCCACACUUCCCCAGACAAACAAGCAACAAAAUAAAUGUAUUCAGUACCAGAUAUAAGAGCCGAAAUCAAACAUUACCCAGCCAUCCAGAAAUGUUUCAUCAAUUAACCCCAUGCAAUAAUAAAAGGCCCUAUUUUUCCACGUAAACAGAUAGAAUUAUCAUAGUUUCUCACCUAGUUUAACACUUUUCUCAACAAGCAAAAAUCAAAAGAAGCUCAACUUUUCUUCACGAAACAAACAUCAUUUACUUCUAAAUCAUUGGAUGUAACAAAAACAGAGUAGAGGGUCUCUUUUAUCUCAUCAUAAAACGUUAAUUUCCAUGCUUUCUCUUCUGCCAUCUUCUUCCCACCAGAGGAAAACCCAAAAAAUGGGGGCGUUGAUUCGAGAAAAAUAUGGUUUUGACCAAUCAAUAAAUUGAGGUUGAGAAGUUAUGUAGUACCUUCUGGGGAAGAGAAGAGAGAGAGCAGAUCUGCUAAUAAGCCGGAGGGAACGGCAAAGCCCAGCUCUUAUUCUGUCUUCAGAAGUGAAACUGAAAGAGAAGACUAGGGUUUAGAGGGAUGAUAUAUAUUCAUCUCUGGUGGAGAAUCAACGGUGGGGAUCGCGUGGGCUUUAGUGAGUAAGAAUGGAAGCAACUCAUGUGCCAUAUUUUGUGGAUGAGGAUGACGGAUGGUCCGAUUAUAUUUUUCCAAACACGCCCAAAGAAGUUUGAAUAGGUCCUAAUGCAAUAAUUGUGAGGCCCAGAAUGCGUUCAAGGUUUCCAAAAGUAGUUCCACAGUCUUGGAAGAGGCCCAAUUGCACAGGUUUUUUUUCAUAAUGGAUUUGGUGUUUUUUGGAAUUGAUCUCUAUUGGUUGUUUUUUUUUCCCCACUUUUCUUGAUGCAUAAGUAUAGUGGCCCUUAAAAUUUUCAUAUUGAUCGUUGUCCAUUGACAAAUUGCGUCCCUAAAAUGGUUAACCUCUCAAUGAUAUGGUAAAUUCGUUGAAGAUGAGUUAGUUAGAAAUGGUUAAUUGAGUUAUUGUUGUUUAACCAUUAUAUUAUAGUACCAUAUUGGGUCUCUUGAAAGGAUUAUGAAACUGCAAAUGUCGGAAAAAGAGUAAUUCAAAUGGCAGUGGCCAAAUGACAAGAAAAUUGUUAAUCAAGCAACAAGUGAGCAAUCACUAGGUCUUGGUCGAAGUAUUGGUCAGUGUUGAUUAGAGUUUCAAAAACAAAAAAAAAAAAAAGAAGAAAAAAAAGCAAAGAGUAGCAAGUGAACCAAUUGACGAAGCCCAUGUUUAUCUGGUUUUGUUCAAACCACUCAAGACAUCGUACUGGGGCUAUUUUGUUAACCAAACUUGCAAGUCCAAACCACUUAAUAACCCAUCUCACCCAUGGACAAAUCCACUUAAUGAACUAGGACAGUCCAAAUUCAGCAAAGGGAGACAAUGAAAAGAAAUGGAAAAGCCCAAGAGAGUUUUUUUUUUUUUUUGGCAGGGGCAGAAAAAAGAGGGGGUUGUGGUGGGAAUGCCUCCAUAUAAUAAAAUUUGAAUAUAUAAUGGACCAAUUUUGUGCUUUUAUGAAGCCUAACAUAAUAAUUUCUUUUUGGAGCCUCCCUCGAGCUAAACAACCAAAAGAAAAAGCCUAGAAACAAAUUGUCUCGUGAUAACGCAUAAAAACAUUAAAGAGGUACUCUAAAUCAGGUGGGAUUCUCGAUAUCACUAUUUGGUGUCAAAUCGAGUGUCAAUCUCACUUAUCAUGUAAGGGUAAAAGAAAAUUUGAAUUAAACCAAAUCAAUUUGAAUUAUUAAAAGAUUAAAGAGCACUUGACAAUUUAAAUAAAUAAGAUAGGUUGCAUAAAUAUAGAAGUCGCACUGAGUUGUCACUGAAAAGUGACACUGAAGAACCCACGCGACGACUGUAAAUAGCUAAUUAUUCCAACAACUCUUCUUGAUUGAUCAGGUCAAAUGAAUUUCUUCUUGCGAUUAUGAUUUCAUGGCAAGUUUCACAAGGAAAACUUCCUUUUCCACCAAAGCCAUGAGGAAACAAUAAGACCACUCAUGAAAAUCCAGAAAACCGAUCUUGGAGUCCACAAGAUCAUCAUGAAGAUAGAAAACAACAAUGCGCAAGUUGGCCACUGAGAAGACCUUCGAGAACUGCAUGCAUAUUCUUAGACGGAGUCACACUUCAGUCUGUCGUCUACAUUCUGACGCUUCUUCAGACAGAACACAAGCUGUGUAGUAGCACAUUGUAACAAAAGAUUAUUUCGUCUAGCAAAAUCAAAAUCUUUUGAAUGAGCUUUGCAAUUAUUACCUCGUAGAAAUUAAUUCGGCACGACAAUUCCUACAAGUUGAAACUGCGACGUCAGGAAAAAGCAGGUCCCAGUAUCCAAAAGUUCUUGCAGGGCACUAAAUGAGGCUGCCUGAAUCAGCAUUUUGACUAUAUUCGACACCAAAGCCUAGUCGUGUUAAUCGACUCUCACCCUUUCAUAUACUCCUUUUGUUUUUCUUUUCAUAGUAUAUGAUACCUAGUUUCGCAUGAUAUAAUGGUAUUACGCAAAUCUUAACCUACAAUCAUUCUUGUUAGGCAUGUAGAUGUACAACUCUAAACUGCAAAAUCCUGCCUCAUUCAACUUUGGGUCAAUAAAGAUGAUUUAAAUAAUAACUCAUCACGAGUCUAAAAGACCUAUGUCAUCAAGAUGAAACCGAAUGCAAAAUGAAUUGUUGCUAAUAAUUUCUUACCUCAAUAGCUCUUGCAAUUAGACCGACAAAAGCUUUAUCCGGGUUGACAUUGGAUUAGGAGGCUCUUCAUUCAUCUCUCCGUUUAUUCAUAUCUAGAUUAUUCAUAUGAUCUCUAUUGAUCUCUAGACCAAGAUUCUAAACAAUGAUAUUCUUCUGAAAAUAUUUUAGCAUUUGAUUUACAAAAAAAAAAAAUAUUUGAAUGGUGAAAAAUAGGUUAAAAUUGUAACAAAAUUCGUAACAAUUAAUCAAGUAGCAAACCCUAAUCAAUUUUAUGUAUAAGUAAAAGAAUUAAUGAAAUAUAUUAUGAACGGUGUUAUUUUUAAAUUAAUUUUUUGAGGUGUAACGGGGGAAAUUUUGUCUAAUUUAAUUCUUUUUAAAAAAAGUCUAGUCCGUUGACAUUCCUAUUUUUCUGAACAUUUUGGUUGGUUAGUAUGACUUCCAAAUGGGGUUGUUGGGGUUGACAAUUAAAUCGUUUUCCAAUUUUAUAUCUGAGUUCCAUUUAUGUUAUGACUUGUAAGGUCACACACAUGGUAUUCAACGAUCCAUCCUGAGCGUUAUCAUCUUUCCAAGUCAACUUUAGUUUAUUCUGAAAGUUUACGUGAAUAAAUUUUUUUUUUCAAACUCAUUUUGCGAGAUAACGUUGAAGGACAAAUAUUAGUGCAGCAGGUUCUGUAAGGUUUGAAUUCAAAGUAAUAUGUUGCAACAUAAAAAGUUCGAAAUAAUUUAAGUUACUUGAAGGCAUUAAUUAAUGCUCUAUGCCAAACGAUGGCUCAAUAUAAUAAAGUCAUGAUUUACUUUUACAUAACCGACCGACUUGUGGAGAAAUAUGCUAUUGCUAGCAUAAUGGUUGUGAUGUCGUUUCAAGAAUGUGAGCAUUGUGCAUGGCGGUUCGUUGCCAUUGGGUUAGUGUUUUGGCGAUAACGUUUGAGCGAUUUUUUUUUUACUUUCAUUUAUGUGUUCUUUUUUAAGAUUUAUUAUUUAAUGUCUCUACCUAUAUAAGAAUUCUACGCUUUUUGAUUGAGUUCAAAAUCAGUGGUUUUGAAAUGAGAAAUCUCAAAAUCAUAAUGUAUCCUAAUUCGACUAUUUCUAAGUCGAAACAUCCGAAUAUUUGACUGAAUUCUGACUUACUGAUUUCAAAUUUUUUUGAUCAAGUUUGAAAUCAGUGGUUUUGAAAUGAGAAAUCUCAAAAUCGUAAUGUAUUCUAAUUCAACUAUUUCUAAGUCGAAACAUCCGAAUAUUUGACUGAAUUCUGACUUACUGAUUUCAAAUUUUUUUGAUCAAGUUUGAAAUCAGUGGUUUUGAAAUGAGAAAUCUCAAAAUCGUAAUGUAUUCUAAUUCGACUAUUUCUAAGUCGAAACAUCUGAAUAUUUGACAGAAUUCUGACUUACUGAUUUCAAAUUUUUAAAUUCACUGAGUAAAGAAAAAACCCUUAAAUUCCUAAAGAAAAUAUUGGAAUACGUUGCCUAAAAAGGGUACAAUUGAAAUAUAAAAUAAGCUAUCAAAUGAAUUGAUCAUUAAUGAAAUUUCAGAAGUUGAUAACGGAGUCCAAAGAUUAUCAAGAAGAUAAAAAGCAGUAACGUGCAAGCUUGUCAUCAAGAAGACCUUCAACAACCGCAUGCAUGUUCUGAUUUUCCUUCAGAACAAAUUGCAAUGUGCUAAAACAUGCAAUAAGAUGCUCAGAAACGCUAGAUUUUUGUCUAGCAAUAUCAAUCCAUUGAGGGUCUGUUUGGUUGGAAGUAAAAUAUUUUCCUUGGGAAAAUAUUUUCCGUGGAAGUAAUUUUCCAUGAAAAUCAUUUCCCUUUCAUCAUUUUCAGGUGUUUGGUUAGCUUAUUGAAAAUAUUCUCUUACUUCAUUUUUCUGGUGUUUGUUUAACUUUUGAAAUAUUUUCACUUUUAUCUCUAUCUUUACUUUCUACACAUUAUAACUACAUACUUCUUCCCAUGCAAAAUAAGAAAAUUUAUCUCAUUGUUUAACUUUAAAAAAUCUUGGAGAAAUGUAUAUAUGAAUAAAAAAUAUCUCCUUAAGCAAUAAACAAAUCGCUGGCCAUUUAGUGUCAAAUAUCAAUCACAUGCAAUGCUUAUUGUGACAUAUAUCUUGCACUCUCACUGCUGAAAGUUUCUCUAGAAAAGAAUGUCCCUAUUAUGCAUAAUUAAUUACUAGCAUAGGAUAAGCAGGAUGAGGUUUUUUUUUUAUUUUGAAUAUACUAGGGGAGGGUUGGGUUGGGUUGGGUGGUACGGGGGAGGGAGUGUAAGAAAGAGAUUUUGGGUUCGAAUCCUCCUAUUUACACUAAAAAAAAAAAAGAACAUACUACAAGAUGUUUUCAGUAAGUUUGGAACAUACUACAGGCGGGAUGCAUGUAUUUCGGAAAACAACUUCAGUAAGUUUGGAAGGGGAGUUGUUUUCCAUAAGAUGGGUGAAAAUAUUUUACAUAUGAAAAUGUUUUCAGUAACUUUUGUGCAACCAAACACGGGAAAUUAGGAAAAUAUUUUCCUGGAAAACAUUUUCACCCGAAACAAACGGACCCUGAACGAGCUUUCAAAUCAUUACCACACAGAAAUUACUUUGGUAUGACAAUUCCUAAAGUUAAAAUUGCGACCUAGGGAAAAUAGCAAUGUAGACUACCCUUUGUUCCUCUCUUUCUGGUCCAAAAGUACUUGCAGGUCACCGAGUCAGGCUGCCUAAUUUGGUAUUUUGACUAGCCUCAUCGCGUUAAAUGACUCUUACUCCCUGAUCAUAUGCUCUUUUAAAUUUCCUUUUAGUCCCAUAUAAUAGUAAUAGAUGCAAUGAGCGUGACCCUAAUAACCUAAAGACCCCUGCAAAUUGAGUAAUACCUAUUUUAGCAUAUGAUAUAAUGGUACAAUUCCAAUUUAAACCUAAACCUACUACAAAAAAAUGAACCUUGAAUCAAAGUAGUAAGGCAUGUAAACACACUAUUCUAAUAAGUAACUGGUUGCAAAACCUACUUCUUUCCACUUCGGUUCAGUAAAAAAAAUUUAAAAAAAAAAAAAAAGUCAUAAAAGAUCUAUUCAUCGAGGAUGAAGCCAAAUCCAAAAUGAAAAUGUCCCUCGUGAUUUCUUAUCUCAACAUCCCGUCUAGUAGACCAACAAGGCUUUCUAGCUAGCCAUCUUGGUUGGCAACUCUGACGCACGCUUAUUUGUCUCCGCUUUUCACUUGUUUAGUACGAUUUCCAAAUGGUGAUUGGGGUUGACAUCGAUUAUUUUCCACUCAUAUAUGAUAUAUCUCCCCUUAGGUGUGUGUUGUGACUUGGAAAGGUCAAAGAUAGUAUUCAGCCGUCCCAACACAAAUGCUGUCCUCUUUCAAUGUCACCUCUUUAGUUUUUCCAAUGCCCAUAGAGGAAAAAGUUGUGAAAUUCAGACGGGACAAUAUGGUAGUUGGCUUUAAUAGUUUAAAGUCGUAGUCUUUGCUUGCAAGAAAAAAACUUUGAAUUUGUUUCAGUUUCUUAAAUUGUUCAUAUUGAAUACGAAUUAAUCCUUUUUACACUCAUAAGGUAUACAUAAGGAGUCUAACUGCACUGCAAGAUGCACAAAAUUUGGAAUUCAAAUUUAAAUAUGACGUGCAUGCAUCUCUUCUAGGCGCAUUAAUAUAUAUGAAAGAUCAAUCAUUUGAAUAUUUACUUGACAUUCUAAUUUCCUCAUAAUAUCUAGUAAAAACGUUUCUUUUAUUUGAUAAAACCUUCGAAAACUUAAUAAAGUUUGCUCAACCAAAAGGAAAUUAAACUCCUUUUUUGAAGUCAUGAUUUCCUCCCACUUAAAAUUGCAUGUGGACCAUAUGGAAUUAUAUGAAGGUUCCCAGGAGCAGCAGGAGGGCAGUAAUAGAAGAAAGUCAAUUUCUCCAUUCAUGCAUCUUAACUCGGAUCCACCGACUUCUGUGAAGAAAUCUUUGUGUUGCUGCAGAAGGUUGUUUCAAGAAAUGUGAAAACGUGAUGGCUUUUCGUUGCUUUUGGGCUUCAGAAGAUUGUGAGCACUAAAAAGUAAAAACUGCAGAAGAAGACGGAUCAUGAGAGUUCAGUCUUAUCACGGAUUUGGGAUUGCGACAAUAGAAUGAAGUAGGUUAUUCGAAACCCACGAGGGAGCCGCUUCGGCAAUUCCAUUUUUAUUAUAUUACACACAAUUUGUCCGUGCAGCUUAGUGGCCGAGAAGAUGAAACGUCGGCAUUCUUAUUUGCUAGCAUUAAUUUUGAUAGUUUGAAGGAUAAUAUCAGAAACCUCCCUCCUGAGGUUCUUCUUAAUAUCACUUAACUCUUUCAAAGUUUUUAAAAUAUCACUAGUACCAAUUCAUUUUAUAUGUUCAAAUUUGAUUUUUUAUGAGCCUGAUUUUUUUCCACCAACCUCUUCUCGAUCGACCCAUGGCCAAACUUUUAGAUUGUGCUAAAUCAUUAUAAAAAUCAGAUUAAAAUAAAUAUAAAAAUCAUACGCCACUCUAUUAUAAUUACAAAAUGAAAAAGGCGAACAAAAUUCAAUUUACUAUAAUUUACAAAUAAAAGAUAGCAUGGUUAUCCAAAAAAAUGAGUCAGAAAGAGUGUUGAAGAAAGGCAAAAAGAGAAUCAAGAAAGUGACUUUUGUUUCUUUUUCUUUAAUUUUUUAAGCUUCAUCUCUUUGAUAUGUGAAUUAUGUAUCGAAUGAGGGUUAAUAUAAUCAUUUUACAAUUAUUAGGAGGACGUAAGUGAUUAAUUUAAAACCUCACAAGCGAUAGGUGAUAUUAGGAGAAACCUCAAUGGAGGUUUUUGAUAUUAUCCCUAGUUUGAAAUCACCUAAGAAGAAAAUGGUAAAUUGUUGUUUGAUCUUUACACCAUCGCUGGGGGACUUUUCACAAUUCUCAAUACUUUGGAAUCUUGAAGAUGUGUUUGUUUAACGUGAUAUUAGUCUAAAGAAAUUUUUGUGCGUUGUGAAAUGAGACAGUAGAAUGUAACAAGCAUGAUCAACGUUUUUACCGUUUAUUAUUGUUUUCACCUACAUGAUGUUGUUGGUAGAGUAAUUGUUACCUGUUUUCUAAUCUUUCACUCCACAAGUCCACUAUAGACUAAGUCGAUUUUUAAUUUGUGACCCAUGGUCAUGCAGAAAUGUCACCAAAUUCAAUUCAAAUCAAAUCUAAACUUUGGUGGGUCAUCAUCCUAUUCCAGUGAAAGCUACCUCAUUCCAUAUUUGAGAUUUUUCUAAUUCUGGGAACCCGAUUCUCCAUGGUUUUAUUCUACAACGAACAAGGAUUGAUUUGUCAAUUUUUCUCCAGUGCUGGCAGCCACCUAUCCUUUUCAACAUCUACCAGUCCAACUUGACCAUUAUCAGUUAUCAAGAUCAAGAUCAACUUUUAAUAGCUUGAAAACAAGAAAGACACUGAAAACGUGAUUUGUGAAUGCAAAUAAAAAAAAUCGAAAUGAAGUUGUUUGUGAAAAAUCACUUGACCUUUUUGGUUAGAUUAGAUAAGAUGGAUGGGAUCAACGAUUGCUUUAGCCUUAAGGGUGCCUCUCAGCUUUCUGCUUGCCAAUGAGCAUUCUCCACUAAUGCAUGACGAUUGAUAAUACUAAUAAUCUAUGGAUUACCUGAAUAUAUUGGUCCAACUUACUAUUCGGUAGCAAAGAAUAGGAAUUUUAUUAAUUAGAUUGUUGAAAAUCGUCCAGCACAAUUCAUUUGACAAAAUUUGGAAAAAAAAUUUCACAGGGGUCAACAAUUAAUGUCUUCUGAUUUACUGUUAAAACUUAAAAGCCAACCGCAAGAUGCAAUAUUUUCAUCAACUCCAAAUGGUUGCAAAAGCUACUCAGCAAAUGAAACAUGUAAGCAACAUCGGCUUCUCCGUGCAUCUAACGUGCUAGGUCUGGUUGGAGCGCUGGGCCGGGCCGAAGUGGGAUUAGUCGGGCCGCCUUUACGGACUUGACCCGGACACCCACUCCGUCGACAAAAAAAAAAAAAAAAAAAAAAAUAUGAAACAUGUAAGCAAUUAGUUAAGACGAACUAAACUAGCUUUCGUAUACUUUGACAGAAUAUUAACUUACCAAACGAAAAGUCUGUGGUUACUAAGUAGUGCACACGUGGUGCAAUGAGUGCCGGUAAUACAUAGCCUCCAGUGAAGGCCUUUUUUUUUUUUUUGUCGCCUAGCAGCGAAGAAUUAUACUACGGCUGUAGAAACUUACACCAUUUCAAUCAUCAAUAUCUUGGGAAAUUUUGAAAAAAGAAAAUAAGGCGAUUAAAAAUUCAUAAGUAGGAUAUGACUAUUAAAAAUUUUUAAAAUGAAAUAUGGAUUACCGUUCAGAAAUUGUAAAAAAAAAAAACAUCAUACAUGCAUAAUUUAGUAUACAUAUGUGCACAUAUAUGGGUUUGAACAUGCACAUUCACACACACACACAUAUAUAUAUAUAUAUAUUUAUGUGCGCGCAUCAAAAUGCAAAUUUUUAUUUAUUAAGUUGAGUAACCGUGCAGUGUUAUUGAACAGGGUACACAUUAUUACAAGGGUGGUCUAGUCAUUUAAUGGUAAAUUUAUUACCUAUUUAAAUGUGCGAAUAAUAACCCAUUCCCAUUCACAAAUCUAUCAAUAGACAAGCUACACUCUUCUUAAUUAUGACUAUUUCAUUUUCCUAUUCCCAUUUUUCAAAAAUUUCCGAGUAAUUUUACCAAUUGUGUUCCAAUUACAGUUCAAGACGCGUCACUCUGAAUCUCUCAUACGAAUUACUGAGUCUAUUACGGUGAAAUACUAAUUAAUUGCCUGAUAUGAUAUAAUCAUCAGUCAUCACUCGCUUUUCUUGGUUAGUACAUCUUUCAUUCUUUACAGAAUUAUUCGCCGCAAAUGAAGUACAUAUUCAAACGAAUAUUAGACUAAAAUUACAGCGGUUUCUCCACUUAAAAUCUAGAUUGAUAGUACUUCAUGUUGUCACAUUAACGCUCCAUAGCUUCAAAUUUCAAGCAUCAUUAUUAAGUUGGUAUGUUCUUCACCAGCAAGCUUAUCUGUUAUUGGUGUUUUAAGAUGACGUAUCACUGGAAGUCAAAAUAUAACUAUCAAACAGUAAAGAAAUUGUGUUUUUUUUCAAAACAAAAAGUCAAUGGUUGGAAAGGAGCUCGGUGUGUUAUUUGAAUACUUCAAACGAGAUUCGGGUUGAACUGGAUCGAUUUUCUAAUUUAUCUAAUUUUGACAUGGUUCAGUACUACUUUUCCACACUCCACAUUCGAGGGAUUCGAGUGGAGAGGUGAAAAAAGAACGGCAAGGUUAGGAGAGAACGAAAAAGAGGACCAGGGAGUUGAAACUUUAAGUGUAAAAUUAUACAAACAUUGAUAUUGGCACUUAGUUAAGAGGCCAACAGUCUUCCAUUCUUAAUUAUUUGAUUGAGCGCAUUUUCUUUCGUGUGAUUAAUUACUUGAGAUAUAAUAGGUUUUUUUGUUAUACUCUAACUUGAAUUUAGCCAAAUUUUGGCUAAAUUUCAUUUUGGUCCUUUAAACUAUUGAACCACUUUCAUUUUAUUCCUUUACUUCAAUUUUGGAUAUUUUAUUCUCUAAAGUAUGAAAUCCGUCCUGUUUUAGUUCUUAAACUUUGAGAAUCGUUUACUUGUCAUUCUGUUAGUUUUGACAAUUUUAUGAGAUUGAUUUCAUACUUUAAGGAAUACAAUAUUCAAGUGAAGUUUACGAACUAAAAUGUGAUAGAUUCCAUAUGUAACCUAUAAGUACAAAGACCAAAGUGAGAGACUGCAUCUUUAGUUUAAGCAGCCAAAGUAGAAUUUGCCCAAAUUUCUGACCUAAGUUGUUGACAUAGUGUGUUUUGAUCUGCACGCUUAGAUCACAUAAAACAAGUUUUAGCCCAAAAGAUAGACCAUCAAUAAUUGCAAUUCGUAAAUUUAAACCCGUAAAGACAAAUAAUUUAUGUUAGUCCACCAUGAAGGAGUGGUUUGCAGAAGUGCUUGUGUUGGACCAUUGGUUGGAUAAUUCAAUUCCAGGGCUUAACGUGUUAUUUCAUGGCCAUUUGGCUAGGUGAAUUGUUAUAUAUAAGAUGAACUAUAUAUAUAUAUGAGCCAUUGAACACGGUCGUCACUUAACCCAUGUUUAAUAAUCCAAUUCAAUUCAUCACUUCAGAUCUUAACAUAUUCAGACGCGUUUAAUAAUAAAAAAUUGAACAUCAUUAAGUGACACUAAAUUUUCUAGGCAAAACUUGCUCUCAAAAUUAAGUGAUAAGUUAUUCACUUAUCACUGAAUGUAAUAUAAACUCAAAUAUAUUAGAUUUAAUACUUAAUAAUUAAAUGGAUUCAGACUUCAAGAUUUCAGACUUCAAUUUUAUCAGACGCACCUUUACUUUGGAGGCAGACACAAUUCAAACAUACAUAUUGCUUUUUUUUUUCUAGCAGAAAAUAGAAUGUAUAUUAUUCCAACCAAAUCCUCUAAACUUCACAUGCAUCAUGUAAUGAUGAUUUAUUUGCAUCAAAGUUUGUGAUUAACGUGAUGUCACAAUUAAUCAUUAGUUAGACCACGAUGUUGACUAUCCCCAUUAACGAAAUUCGUGAGGUAACAUGUGCAAUGUUCGCCGCGCCAAAGCAAAUAAAAAACACAGGCCAAACCAAGGAAAAAAAAAAACCACUCACAUACUUAAUUCCAAUCUUUUCAAACUCGAAUGUGUUCACAAGCCGAAUUCUUAAAGAUAUUGUAACUUCGGACUUUUUCUUCGUUCUUCUUAUUAUCACACCAAAUUUCUCCGUCGUGGUUAUCGUUCUGGAAAGCCUUUCAUUUUUCAAAGAAUGCGGAGUCUGCGGGAAAAAAAAAAGUCUCUUAUGUAGUGGAGGUGGUGAUGAUGAUUACCGGAAAUGAGAUCCUUGUUUCCUAGGAUUGGUCCCAGGAACCUAAAUAAUGAAGUUGGGAAGCAUUAUCUUACGUACUAACAUAUGAUUGAGACUUUAACAACAGUUAUAAGUUAGCUACGUAUCCGUCCAGUGAUUGCUGAGAACUCUUAAAAUUCUCUCUAUUGCCAGUUUUAGAAUCUGAAUUUUAGUUUUUAAGUUCACAUUUGAAAUCUACGUUUAAUAGUUAAGGUUAGGAAAUCACUGGGAUUGGUCUAGUAAUUCGGAAAAACUCUUCAGGAUUUGAAUUCUAGUUUUUAAGUUUAGGAUCCGAAACCUAAACUUAACCAUUGAGGUUAGGAACUAGGAAGGGUGAGAGGUAAAUAAAAAGGAAAAAAAAAAAAAACGUAUCACUUGUCGUGGGGCUGUUAGGACUCAAGAUUGUGAUCAAACAUUGCUACUUGACAACAUACCAAAAUUUGAUUGUUGGCUAAAAGACAGAGAGUAAAAAAUUUCUAAAAUAAAACCGAGAGACAAUUCAGAUAAUUUAUUUAGAUGAGUGGGAGUAGUUCAAUAUCAACUGGUUUUAAUUGUUGAAUUUUGCUAAAUAAGACUUUCUCUUUAUAUAUAUUUUUUAAAAAGCUGGUUAUAACUGGGCAGGAAUUGAAACUGGCACCCGUUUCCAGAAAAAAAUUAUGAUUUAUUGAUUCUUACCAAGUCAACUGAGAUUGUUACACUAAAAUGUGCUUUAGUUCCCAAAAUCCCGCAAACUAGUAAUUUCCCUGCUCGUGGAUGAAAAUCUUUGAUUGAAACUUGGUAAAUAUGAAUAGUAGCCGGAAGAGGGAAAAAACUUAAAUAAGACAAUAACCACAAUAAUCAAAUGAAGCACAAAUAAAGCAGCCUAUCUCUCCCUCUCUCUCUCUCUCCAAAAUUAGCUCAAUUUGCCUACAUAUCAUUGUUCAUAAUUCUUUUUCUUUUUUUUUGAUUAAAUCUUAUAUACACUGACAGUGUAUACACUAUCAUCAUUGGAUUUAUGAUACGUGUACAAAAGUUGAAUUUCAAAUUCAAAUUUUGUAUAGUUUUGUAUACAUUGUCAGUGUAGAAAAGAUUAAUCCUUUUUUUUUACUCCCAAUCAUGUAUAUAACAAUUAUUUAGAAAAAAAAACAAUUAUUUACUCCCAAUCUUGAAAGAUUAAUCCUUUUUUUUUUUUUGCUCCCAAUCUUGAAUAUAACAAUUAUUUAGAAAAAAAAACUUACUUUGAAAGAACAGUUCUACAAUUCCUAUACAAAUUAUUUCUCCCAAUCUUAUUUUAUACACAUAAUGCAAAACAGACAACCCACAUGUGUUACGGGAUUUUUGGACUCUCUGCUUAAUGUCCAAAGCUCGAAAGGAAUCUCCAAAUCAUCAGUGAAGUCUUUCUGUCUAAAUCUGUAUUCUACAUUUAAUCGUCCUCAUCUUGUAUGUUGCGUAAAGAAAAAUAUCACUCUGCUUAAAAAAUAUCUAAUCAUCCCUAUAAACGACAAAUUUGCUUUACUGGGAUUAUUUCACGAUCAAAUCUGAGUGCAUCUUUCUUGCGAUUGCUUCAAUUGCCAGAGAUCAUCCAUAUUCCACAAGCAACAUCCCAGAUCAUCACUCAGCCAAUUGUUUUGUGCACAGUAGUUAUCACCAGCUGGCCCUGUAGAGCCGCCCAUCGCUGUAACAGGUGCUGCUGAGCUCAAAUUUUCCAUAUCUUGAUAACUAGUGCUGUCAACAUUGUAAAAUUCAUUUUGAGAAUGACCAUAGGAAUUGUUGGGAGCCAUGUCAUAAAAGGGAUUUUCUAUGUAUUCGGAAAAUUGAGGGACCGGAGAGAUAUUCGUGGAUUCUGAUGAAGACAUGCUUGAUGGGCUGCUGCUAAUCAUGUUUCUCUGAUGAUUAUCCGGAAAACUGUAUGGUAACUGUUGCGGUUGUUUUGCUGCCAGUGAACUGCUAACUGCUGCCUGAAUUUCAGCUAAAUUGUCAUGUUCUGAUGAGUCCCAAUAUGCUAUAUUUCCUUGUACCUUUUGAAGCAACCGAGGAAUCCAGACACGGCGAACUAGUUCUUGAAACUCACUGCUGUUGGAGUCUAUCUUCAGAUGGCGGGCCUGCUUUUGUACUCUUGUUCUCCAGUAGUUCUUGAUUUCAUUAUCUGUUCUUCCCGGAAGAUGUUGUGCAAUCUUUGACCACCUUCAUUAUCAUUUAUGAGAAACAAAUUAGCUUCAUCGGCGUCCAAAUUCAGUAUUAGGAAGCAAAUUGAAUUUGAAUCGUGUCCUUUUAAUUUUCUUUACAUCCGAGUACAACUUCAACUUCAGAAUCCAAAAUCAUAUGGGACUGGACAAGUAUGAAUGCAGAAGGUGAAACAUGCAAUGGUAGGGAUGAGGAUGCAAAUUCGGGCCCAAAUCUGCACAAAUUUCAUCUAAACAGACUUAAAAGUGUGCAUUUGAGCGCAAAAAGCCAAUUACCAAAUGAAUACCUGUUGCCCCACUUGGAAUGAAGCUCAAGAAUCAAGAGCUGUUCCUCUGGACUAAGAUUUCCUCGUUUAACAUCCGGUUUAAGAUAGUUGAGCCAUCUCAAUCUACAACUCUUGCCAGUUCUAUUCAAUCCUAUGUGUACACAACACGAAAUUUCAGCAAAACUGUACAGUUGAAACUUUGGAUGAAAAGAAACAUUGAUUUUGUGCUCAGCUUUCGUGGCAACGAACAUAUGUGCUUACCUGAACGUUUCGCUAGCAAGUUCCAUCGGCCUUCACCAUGAGCAGCAAUGUAAUGAACAAGAAGAGAAUCUUCUUCAACAGUCCAGGGACCUCUCCUGAGCUCACCACCUGCGGCAUCAUCAUCACUACAACUGCUUGUAGUUGUACUCUUAGACAGGGAACACAUGGCUGGCUUCUAUUUUGAGUAGGGUACCGAGAAUUUUGAGGAAUUUCAAGACAAACUGAUAAUUGGGCUUACGAGUCUAAGCUUUGAAGGCGAAGCACUGACGCAACAGCAGCAAAUCCAUGAUUUAUAAGGUACGAGGUCUUAGUACUCUAACCCACUGUUCACAUGUUACUUUUCAAAGGAAGUAGCCGCGAAAGCAGACUUUAUAAUGCACAGCUUCUUUUCUUUUCCCUAUUCUGUUUUUUUUUGGUCAUUGUAGCAUAGGAUUUCUAUUGGAAUUUUUACUCUCCUUUAGAAUUUCAACCAGUCAAAACAUAAGAAAUCACUGGAAUAUUGUACCUAUAACAUCGCCCACAAGCAGAAUUCCAGGGUAAUUUUUCUUUUAUUCUUCUACAUCGAGAAAAUUAAGGACUGAAAUAGGGGUGGCCAUGGUUUAGGUUUAAACCAAAAUCGGACCGAAAUUAGCUCGAAGGUUUGUUGAAUUAGGUUUUGGAAACCGAAACCGAAAUCAUAACCAUGACUAAAGGUUCAAGUUUAGAUUCACUAAAAUUUUGAACCAGAACCGGCGGUUUAGAAUCUGUUCAAAUCGUCUAAAAAAAAUAUUUACUACUUAAACCUGUUUGUCUUGUUUAGAGUCCAAUAUCAAUAGUUAGCACCUAAUACCAGUAAUUAAAGUCCUAAUCUAAUAAUUUACUGUCCCAUUCUUUUAGUAAAUCUAUAAUCAAUGAUUAAUCUAAAUCUAAAACCAAUCUAAUCUAAUCAAUAAUGCGAUAUUUUUCAAAAAAUUUACACAUUUUUUCUUUUUCAUCGCACAUGAUAAUGCAAUAAACACACACACACACACACACACACACACACAUAUAUAUAUAGGAGUUCAAAUAUCGCAACCGUAACCGUCCCUCUGUGGGCUAAUUCAAGUUCUACCUUUCUAAAGAAUCGAAACCCUUGGUUUUUAAAUUGGAACCAACGGUUUUGGAAUCGUGACCAUGUCUAGAUUGAAAUAUGAAAAUAGUUGUGCUUUUAGUAGAGAUCCACCAUAUGCCAAUAUAGAGUAGUACAAUUCCUUUUCUUUUUUUUUUUUUGCUUUUUAGUAUAAUUGAAAAGGUCUCGAACUCGAGAUUUUUCACUUACACUUCCUUCUUCCCAUACCACCUAACCCUUUCCUCCCCCUAAUAUAAUAUGUGUCUGUGUAUGUUUUUUUUUUUUUUAAAUAAUGUGUUUUGAAUAUAAUUUUCAAACAUUUUUUUUAUUUUAAUUCUAGCAAAACUUUAUAUUUUACAAUAUGAAGAUACCUAAUAUUUUCCCCUAUGUAGUGAAGUUGAGAACUAAAGCUUUACAUGCACUUUUAAUGGAAUACAAUAAUCUUUUAGAGGCAAUUAAAAUCCCAGCAUGCCACCUUAAAGAAAAUCUCAAUAUGCCAUCCCCGUAAGUAACACAGAGUAUCAAUAUCAAGGAACAAAAGUAGGGUCGAUUAAGGUGGCCGGAUCAGGACUUUUACCUUGUAAAGUAAAUGAUCAAAAUAGCUUUUGGUCUUCUUCAAUAUGGUAAAGUCGAGCUCAAACCAUUUUCUUGAAAAGAAAAUAGGAGGAAUAGGGUGAUUUUGCGAAAUUGUUAAAUCAGCUUAGAUACCACGAGGCUUGGGGUUCCUUUUUAAUUACAUCAUAGGUCUACUAAAAAAUAAUUCUCUAGUCCUAAAGUUCCUACAUGGAAAAAAAGAUAAUACCCACCGUUAUCAAUGAAGAGCUAGAUCAUCAAAGAAAAGGCAGUUUUGACAAAGAAAUUGAAGGCAACACAGCAUUCUUGACAAUGACAAUUACAAAACCUUGAAUCGAUCAUUAGAAGGAAUUAGUUUUUAAAAACUUCCGCGGUUUGUCAUUUCUAGUUUCUUCCAAUUAUAAAAAACGUACUUGACUAACCAAGAUGAAACCCUGAAUCAAAACCAAAACGUGGGUUAAUUUAUGUCCGUCUAACUGAUAGGGGCGGCAACCAUAUUUCUAGGCAUCUAGCUUUUGCUUGGAAUCUUAAAACACAGUUCCCUUUUCCAAUUGCAUGGCUGUCAUCUGAUUUUCUGUCAAUUUUGCUUAAGAGUUGUAGUUUUCUUUUUCAAGCAGAAGUGGUACGUUUUUUAAGUAUUUGGUACUUGACUUCUGGUUUCUCCAGAAUACAUCCAUUUUGGAAACACGCGAGGAGUUGGACAAUUGUAAGAGGCUGCUAAUGCUUAAUGCAGCUAAAUUUGACUUUUAUAACCUACAUCUUGCCUCCAAUGCAUGUUUCGGGUUGAUGACUCCUUGAAUAUCAGGAAUCCCUUGGAUGCGAUGCUCAUGAAGGUUCUUGCAUUCUCUUAUUCUCUGCUGAUAUGCUCUUGCCAUAAUAAUAAUAAUAUUCAGCCUUCUUUUAAUGGAAGCCAAUUGUUUUAGUGACGGUAUUAUUUCUGCCAUAAAUGCAAUUACUACUAGUAUUUCACGUUGAGAGCCCGAGUACAGGUCACAUACUAUUCGCAGAAGGGCUGCAAUUCGUCAAGAUUCAGGGCAAAUAGAAUAUAAACAUCUGACGACAAUCCUAAAGGAAUAUAUAUAAAGAAUGAGCUGAUUCUAUGCUUCUAGAUGCCAUUCAAUGCUUCAUACAAAGCUACUAUAUCCAGCGCAGUACAACUUUGGAGUCUCCUGAUUCUAGUCAAGGUUAUGUUAACUUAAUAACUUAAAAACAAAAAAAAAAAAAAAAAGAGAAAGGAAGAAAAACAAUUAGGACAUGCUAGUGCAAAGCAAUCAAAUUCUCACGUUUUUUUUUUAGAAAUUUUCAAUAAUAAUAAUAAUAAAAGAAUUCCUCAUGUUUCCUCGAUCUUACUUGAGAGUCAGCGAUUGGAAUUAUUCGGUUGGACUGAUGGAAGCGGGUCGUGGUUCUCUUCAUUGCAUUUCUAUUUUUAAUUUCGUACCACUUUUUACUUAUAAUUUAUUUUUGGUAAGACAACAUGCUCCCCCCCCUUCACAACUCAGGAAGAAGAAUAAUUGGACUUACGUAGCAGUUAGCACAACAUUCUUUUUUUUUUUUUUGUUUUUGCUUUUUUUAAUUGAGGAGGAGAACUUAUCAAUUAUCAUCAUCGUAGUGGUACUUGUGACUUCUACACCUAGCCAUUGAUAUCAGCUUAGAAACAAAAAAUUUUUUUUUUUAACCGUAAAUCAAAUUUAACAACUAGUUUGCCAGUCAAUAAUAUUUGAUGAGAAAAGAAAAAAAAAAGUGAGAGAAAUGGAACAUUUCAUCAUUUAGCCAGUUUUUUCAAGAUUAAAAAAAAAGGGCUUGAUUUGGACGAGUUGAUUAUAAUUUUAAAAGCUUUCCGCCCAUUUAUGGACUGAUUUGGACAAAAAAUUGGAGAAAGCCUUAUACAAUUUUUUCAAAUACUAAUAAUGCAUUCCUUAGAUGACCACUAAACAAAAUUUCAAUAGCGUAUAUACAUCUCUUCUCUUUCUUUUCUUAUUUGUCCCUUUUUUUCCUUCUCUCUCAUAAAAUUUUCUCUUCUUUUCUUUUCUAUCCUGAACUCCCAAACUGGCCGUGAGUGAGAACUGUCAUCUACUUAUCCAUUACCCGCAAAAAAAAAAAAAAAAAAAGCCUGUAACUGGUUAGUCUUAAAGCUGAGUUGUUGGACACUUGGACUCAAGAGCCCAAGACUUCUCUCCCCACAAAACUAUGUUGUGGUUGGUAAUUCUAGAAUAGAUUAUUAGUUCCCUCAAGUUGAGAAGUCCAGCAGAGCCUAUUUUAAUACAAGCCAGGGUAUGAAUGGAAGAAUGAUGGAUGACCGGAUAAGAUUACUUAAUAUACUACUACUAUUAUUAAUCUUUCAGAAGAAUUUAAGAAGAACAGAAAGGCAAAGAUAUUUAUAUCAUAUCAAAUUCCAAUUGGCUCAGAAGAAAGAUAGCAAAAACAGCUUUGACUUCAUUUCAACACGAUGGCCAUCACCUCCAAUUACGUUGCGUUACGUUUCCAAAUGUUGUCUUGUGAUUUAUUGGUUUGGUAUCGAAGUGCAACUCUGAUCUUCCAGAAGUUUGGACUUUUUUUUUUUCCUUCUUUAAUUGAUUUUCUACGUCAUUUGUAUAUCUCCUUUUUUUUUUUUUUUUUGUUUAUUCGCAUUUCUCAGUAAUUUCUCUCUCAAUUUGUACGGUCCGCAACUAUAUAUAAUAUAACUAAAUUAAAUAUUUUUUUUUGGGAUAGAAAAUGCAAAACCAAUAAUAUGUUAUUAAUGAGUUGGGUAGAAAUCGUUCAGGACAAUUUGCUUGACAAAAUCAUGGAAACUCGAUAGAGAGAUUCAGUCUAAAUCAAAUAGUUUUGGGACUUCAUGAUUGUUGAAACUUCACCAGAAAAUUGAUGUUAGAAAUUUUAACAGAAUUUGAUAGGUGAAAGAAACCUAUUGUUCCAAUACCACGUGAAUAAUUGGAUUAGAUUAAUAAUUUUCGAAUAUAAGUAGGCGUAAUCCUGACAAAAUUUGCCAGGUUUCAAUUUUCGAAUAUAAAUGCUCACAAAAUCUUAAUUUAUUUAUUUUUAUGGGAUAUCGUUAAAAUCAUAAUCUUAGCCGCUGGAAACAUUUGCUUUAUACAGAACUAUAUAUAUAUAUAGUACAUAUUAAACAAAACGAGUUAUUGUUAUCUUUGAAAGUUUACAUAGUAGAGAUCGAGACUCCACCAGUCAUUUCAAACAAUCAUGAAAUAUGACUAGGAAUGUUGAAGAUUUGAUUAGUAGCUAGGAAGAAAGGAUGGCCUGGCCUGGAGUCUCAAGUCAGAAGUUGUACAAAGACCACAAGAAGACCACGCAAUCCAUGGAUGAAGAUUAGCAAUUUCUUUCUUUCUUUCUUUUUUUUCUUCUAACACCAAUUGGAUGAAGAUAAUGAAGUUUAAGGAUGAGAGUCAAGAUAAUCAAUCAUGCGCGAUCAAUGGCGCAAUCGUGAUUGUAUUACUUGAGAACUAAAUGAAAUCAAUGACAAAAUACUGCACUGUUUCCUUAUAGUGACUGUGUCAUCACAAGAAAAUAAGUUGUAUACGGCAAGAAUUUGUUAAUUCUGAGAUUAUCUUGAUGCAGAUGGCCAAAUUCUGACACUACGUACAUGGCCAAUUUCUUUGUUUUUUUUUUUUUUUUUUAAAAAAAUUUUUUUUGUUGAUGUCAAAUUCCUGCAUUUGCACAAUUGCACAUUAAUUGGCUUAUAUCAAAUUGAACAAUUCCACGUUUGGUUUUUUCAAUUUCUAUUCAAGUCCACCAGGCAUGCCUGAGGUCUUCUCUGUUUCUUUGAAGGAGGUAACCGGUGCGAAGUGAAAAAGGAGGACCUCUGGGCUUUGAUGAGAGAAUCAUUCAAGUAUUACCAGCAAAUUAAAACGAAAAUGACGAGCAAAGAAAAAUCAAACGGAUGGACCUAGCUCUCAAAAUAUGCAUAACUUAGGUGGUUAUGGAUAUGGUAAACAAAAUCAAUGGUAAAAGGGAUCUGCUUCAGAGAAAAUUCAAAUGAAGAAAGUUGCAUGUGGUUUCUAACUUUCUAAUAGGGAGGUGCGAACUUCUUAAACUCUAGCGGCUGCUUCCAUGAACUAAAUUUUAGAGGAAAAAAAAAAAAACUCUUAUCAUCUAAAACUCUUCCAUCAUGCAGACAAUUAUAUAUCCCAUGUUUACUUUUACAAAUGAUUAUCAAGUCUCUCAGCUACUGCCCCUCAUCAAGAAGCAAAAUCCUACAGGAAAUGGAGUUCUGUUGAGCCCAUGGUUCAAAGUCACGGUCGCAGUCGCGGUCGUGGCCCGGAACGUUCUAUAUUGGUCUCGGCAUAUCGGUCGCGGUCUCGGUGAGACGCAAAUUUUAAAGUAUUUAAUAUUCUAAAAAUUGUUAAUAAUAUAAAAAAGUAUGCUAAAUAAAAAUAAUUAAAAAUAGCAAAAGAAACGGCCAAGUCAAUCCGUCGCGGUGUGACUCGGCUGAUUUCUCGUCUUGACUCGGGAUAACUCGGAGUGACUCGGUGUGACUUGGCCUAGUCAAUCCGUCGCGGUGACGACUCGGUCGAUUUCUCGGCGAGUCAAGUAUUUCGGUAUCGUUUUGUCACGGUAUCGUAUCGGUAGGGGCCGAGACGGUGACGACUCGGCCGAGUCGUCUCGGUCUCGGCUGAGACUUCGAACCAUGGUUGAGCCUCAUCUUUCUUUGAUGGCACGUCAGAGAUUUAGCAAAAUUAGUUAAAUAUCUCCGCUUCUAAAGUCAGAUCACAAGAAUGUGUCAUGAUAAUGACAAUAAUUGAACCAAAAAAAAUUCCAUCCACUGCAAACACCUCAUUAAUGCAUUAUUCGAAGGAAAGGGAACUCUACUGAUUAAGCUCACGAGUCCUUUUGAUGGAGAAAUUGAAAUUGAUGUAAACCAUUAAUUUUUUCUUUCCAAGAUAUUCAUCAAAUUACCAUUUCUUGAUCCAGCUCAUCCUUGAGAUGUCUCUCUCUUUAGGAUGCUACUGCAGAUGAGUACCUAUUGGAUUUACAGUUGCUUCGUAAAUAGACUUGGGAUUAUUCUCUUUCAAAUUAGCCUUACCAAUGAGACUCCAUCUUGAUCAGCUUAUUGGACGAGGUGUAUGACUAAAGUUGUAUGGGACGAGGUAUAUACUGGUAAUGCAGCAAGGGUUGUCUUUAGCAGCAAAUCUUGAUCAGCCAAAGUAGCAAUGUUUUCUUGCACCCUCUGGUUCUGUGCACCUUCUCCUUAUAAAACAGUUAGCAUCACUCUACAUCUACCUAAAGUUGAGUCUCUUUCUGCUAAAAAUUCAAGUUUAGAGUUAAGACAUCUACUUUUAUGCACCAUUGAACUUGCUCUAAAGGGCUUUACUUGAUGUCUUGCUGGAAACUUAUUGUUCAACACAUUUAAAUCUGCAUUGCUGUCAAGACUUGUUUAAAUUCGUAAUUGUCCUUCAUAUUAUGAUGCAGUUCUCGUCCCUACUGGACAAGGCAUUUGUACUAGCAUAGCUGAUGAUUCUUGCAUUGAUCUUUUUCAACUUCAAAAUGCCAACAACUCAAUGAGGUAAUGAUCCAUGGAACAUUAUAUGCUGUUUCUCAAUCUUUUCAAGAUAUAAGCGUGAAUGCAUAAGUUUCUUAAUUGAACAGACUAAAGUACGCAAGUGAGGUUCUUCUUUUCUCAUUUGUCUUCUACAUCUGCCAUUUAUGUUCUAAUUCAUGUGGAACUCCCUAGGCAAAUAAGCAAGUGUAACAUCUAUACGAAUAUAUUUGAGAGCUUGAACAAGAGAUGCGAGGAACUGAUAUACCUGGCAUUAAAUGAAACUGCUAUACGAUACAUGAUGGAGAGAACUCAUACUGCCAAGGGCAAAACAGCUCAAUGGAGAACGGAGAUAGUUUGUCAAGGCUCUAAGCGUGUUACACAAUUUAUUAUCACAAAAUAGUUGUCAUCAGCGGAAAAUGUGUACAGAACAUGGAUAUGCUGGUACUUACAAACUCAAAUUAUUAAGAAAAAGCCAGAACAAUAAAGUCAUAGUAAUUUUGGCACCCAUGCCUGCUCUUGCAUUACUUAGCCAGUAACGAAUCAUCGAGCUGGGACCUUUAUCCAACCAUUAGCAAAAGCAAUGGCCAGGAUUACAAAGGGUGUCGACAUACCAAAUAUGAUAAUGUAAGGUAGAGGCGUCUUCAUGGGAUUCUCCCCUUCCCUUUCCCCUGCUGUCUGCCAAUACCUACACUUAGCAAAUACCUUAUGCCAAUUAAUCCCCUCAACAAAAAUACUGCUAUGAAAAGUUAAUGCUAUAUCCAAAUACUUUAUUUAUAUACAUUGUUGAAACUAACUAAUCAUAAUCCUAUUAGGUCGCCACAGCUGCCAAUGUGGACAAGGAAAGUGAGCCAGGAAAAGGCUAUCCCUUCAUGGAAGAUAAGUAAAUGAGUGGUUGAGAGUUUUGAGAGGCUUACUCUGUUGGUUCUUCUUCUUUAGUGAUGAAUUUCUUCUUCCCUCCCUGCUUGACUUCUCCCUCCUCUCCUCCUAAUCAGUAUCAAGGGGAAAAGGUCAUCAAGUUAAAAGUUAGCCUCAUUCCAAUUACCACAUAAAAACAGUCAUAAAUUAGUAAAACAUAAAAAAUCAAAAAAAAAUGUAUAAGCAACUCUUCACCCUUACCCAAUUUUGCAGAUAUUUGGACAGAAUUUUGCCUUCUCUUUGAUGAGCUGAAAGCAUUAGGUUGAGAAGAUGGAGACAGGAGCUUGUGGGAUGGUGCAAAUUUUGUGACUAGAGCAGAAGAAAUUGCCACCUUGGCUGCCAUUGCUGCAGCAAAAUACCAGCACUAGGAGUUAUUUUUCAAGUGGAUAUUAUAAGUAGACCAUCAAAAUCAAACGUAUAUCUGGAAUCUAUCUCGUUAGCUGUGGAUAUGAUUGCUGUUAUAUCUGAUAUCUUCUUCUAUUUUACAAUAUCUGGAGUCCAGACAGAAAAUUGCCUCAUCCAUACAUCAGUUUGUGUUGAGCACGUGGCGCACAUUCACAUUAUGGGCUCUUUGAAAAUCUGUUGUCCUCUGCUUGACUUUGAAGUUGGACCUAAUAAAGUGAUUGCUUCCAAUUUUGCCCUUUUGCUCAGCCAACCCAAGAGGAAACCAUAUUACCAUACUAUUAGCAAAUAUAUAAACAACUAAGCCCACUAUUUUUCUGUAUACUUACUAGCUUCUAUUUUUUAAGAUAUAAUUAGGACUGCAAUAAUAUCACAGUUCAAUAUAUUUAUCAACCAUUCAUUAACCUUACUACAAUUGAUUAAGUCGAAGUUUUCACACGACCUAAAAAAAAGGCGUGAAUCAACAAGGAAUUGUCAUUUUGAAAUACAUCAUUAUGGAGGUGAUGCAUCAGUCCUUAUCUAGUGAAGAUUUGCACUUUGAGGGAUGAGAUAUAAUGCUAAAAGAUUUAUUUAUUUAUUUAAAUUAGAAUUACUAACCUGUAUGCGAGUACCCAAGUGUUGAUGAUCAGAUUCGUCUCGUGGAUACUGUGGUAAAUAACUAUACUAACCAAAAUCCAAAAAAGGGGUGAGAAAACUAGUCUACAGGACUGUAUAUUGUUGGUGCUCAUACUGCAAAAGCAAACAAACUUGAGGAAUAGCAAGUGCUCAUACAAACUUGGGCAAGCUAAACUGCUGGCAAGUAGCUCGUGAGCAACUUGGUCAUACACUCGGUUCAAACUCAAUUUCAUAUAUAUAAUAAGUCGAGUUCGAGCAUUAGUAUUUAGCAUUGAAUGUUCGACAAGCCUAAUUGAGUAGUUAUAUUAUUUAUAUAAUAUAUAUUUUUUAAUUAUGAAUUAACUAUUAUAUGUUCAUGUCUUAGCAAAAAUCGAGCUCGAACUCGAAAAGGCUUAUAAUAUUCUCAAGCUCGAACUUAAUUACGAUAGCCUUGAUUCAAGUUCGACCUUAAUGUUACGUACUUGUCAGUAGCACUAGUAUCGACCGUGUUUAAACUCAAGUAUAGCGAUACUCAAACUUCACUAGAUUUGAUAGCAUCCCCAGUUCAUACUGCAAAAAACAUACAAAUUUGAGGAACAACAAGUACCAAAUCUCAGCAAGUGCUAAUACUACAAAAGCAUACAAAGUUGCCGAACAGCAAAUACCAAAAAAAUAAAUUAAUACACACUUGAGGAACAGCAAAUACCAAAAAAAAUGAAUUUAUACGCUAGAAGGAGGGCUUGAACCUCCGACCUUGUGGUUAACAGCCACACGCUCUAACCAACUGAGCUAUUCCAGCUUUGUUUUUGGCAGGUCAAAUUUAUAUUUAUUAAAUUAGUAGACAGGGCUGUAUGAAACUCCUAUUUCCAGCAAAAAAAAAAAAGAGGCUUCGGUUAGAUAAAGCCAUAAAGGCUCAAUUAUGUCAAGGUUCCUCAAAACAAGAAAGAAGUUAUGUAAAGUUUUAACAAUGAAAAAAAAAAAUUUCAAAGAAAUUCAAGUUAUUGCAUACAAAAAUUGCACUCACAUAUUGCAUCAGGAGUCAAACAUUAGGCAAAUGAAAUUACAGAGGGCGGCCCCAGAAAAUUCAUCUAAAAAGUGAAUACUCAACGUGGAAACAAGAAAACUGAAGAAAUAAAAAGAAACAACUCGUUUCUGCUAGCUAAUGAUUCUUUGAUCCAGUUUUUAAAAGGAGCCGACUGAAAAGUAGCUCUUGCCUCUGAAUAUGUUAAUUUCUGAUCGCUUUUUAACAAUAUUUGUUAGAUGGGUUGAACCCAUUGGGUUUCUUUAAAAGUUGAAGGCAAAUGAAAAUGAAACAUCUAAUCUUUUAUCUCAUUCCACUAGAAAUCUUUUCCCUUUUACUGGUCAUAAGCAAACAACCACUUGCAUUUAGUGAAGAGUGGGAAAUUGUGGUGAAUCUUAUCUCAUGUCUGUCUGAUGAAAGAUCAUUUUCACCAAUGUAAAUAAUUUUGGUCAAUCAAAAUUCAAUCUGUAGUCCUCAACCACUUCUGAAAGCGAUUGCUAAUAACCAAAUGAAUUGCAUACUAAUCAUUCUUAUGGUCUCACCUCAUCCGUGAAAUGAAUUAUUCUGAUGCUGUCUGCAAGAUUUCCACACAGAAUAGCACUAAGAUGGUUCAGUUUUAAACGUAGCAAAAGGAACUGCCUACCAAACCACUGUUUUCCAGGAUAGGACCAUAUCUUGCUUUUACACUUGUCCACAACUUUUGAUCAUCUUCAGAUCAGAAAGGAGUAAAAAUUAUUCAGCUGAUCUUUCAAAUUGUGAUGUUUCCAUUACCACUUUCACUGAUGAUAUUCAGCCGCAAGGAUGCGUCUCCCUCAACUUAAAUUGUGCCCCAAAAGAAACAGUUGGUUAGACUUCUUCUUAAUGAUGUUUGUUACCUUGCAAGUAUGUUUUUCUGAUAUGGAAAGCUCAAAGGGAAAUUGAUGGGUCCAGAUUAAUUGGAUAUAUAUCUCCUGAAGAUGGUCCUACCCGGGGAACAAAACUACAGAGACUCAAAAAGCCACGCGGCCCUCUAAAAUGCUGCACCAUUCCAAUCUUCUAAUGCUAUAGAAAAUAGUACCGUAAAAAAAAAAAAGUAGUAGCAGUAGUAGUAAUCAGUAGUAUUUCUCCGCUAUAUAUAAGGCACUGACUCCCCCACUACCAAAAGAACUGCCAAUACAAUAUAUUCAAUAAUCUUUCAUGGCUCAACACUUCAUUUCGGAUGUGCAAAACAUCAGACAAUCAUUCUCCUUAUCUGAUGUUGAUCCAAACAUGGAAAUGAUGAGUCAGUUUCCAGAGUUGAAUCCAGGAGCUUUAGAUUCCUCAAACUUUACGAACGUGCAGCCUUCAAUGGGAUUUUCUUUCCAUGAAAGUAAUAUCAGUCAACUCCUUGAUCAGUUCCCCGGAAAUUUAGCAGAAAACUUCCCUGGCAUUUUCCCUAGCGAUUUCAAGAACGUCCUCUCACUUCCUGAUCCCAUCUGUUCUUCUGCAUAUGAUCAUACCCUUCAUGAAGGUAAGAAAAGGAAAUUAACAGACACCCCGGAAAGUAGUUCAGCUAAUUCAUCUGCUCAAAUCUCCGAAAAUGGAAGCAGAACAAAAAAUGUAAGGCUCUUAGGUCUCUCAAUACUUCAAUGAAUCAUCGUAUUUCUUAACAUUCUAGAAUUCAAUCUUUUUCAUAGCCAUUUAUUUGAGGUAGAAUUGACAUGUUUAUAUUGCCUUCAGUGUUCACAGAUUACAGGAAAAGGAAAAAGGAUAAGAAGCAAUAGGAAGGAUGAAGAGAAACCAAAAGAAGUGGUACAUGUUAGAGCUAAAAGAGGCCAAGCUACCGAUAGUCACAGUUUAGCAGAAAGGGUAAGUUUUCGAAAUGUAAUUUUGACCAAAUUCCCCAUUUUGGAUAAGUCAGAGGUUCCUUUUCUUUUACCUUUUUCUGCCCUUUUCUUCAACAAUGUCAAUGUCUGCUAGAAGCUAGUGUCACUCGACUCAUCAUAGAGAAUAACAAUUUUGUAUUAUGAGUCCAACACAUUUGUCGAUUGAUCAGGUCAGAAGAGGAAAAAUCAAUGAGAGGCUUAGGUGCUUGCAAGACAUUGUUCCAGGCUGCCACAAGGUAUAUGUCUCUUUAAUUGUAUUAUAUUGCUCUAUUUCUGAUUUUAAUUCAAUUAAUAUGCUAAAAAAAAAGGUGCAGUAUUAAUUAAACCUACGGUGUACGUCAUUGAAUUGCAGACAAUGGGCAUGGCAGUGAUGUUGGAUGAGAUAAUUAAUUACGUGCAGUCCUUACAAAAUCAAGUUGAAGUGAGUUGAAACAAAUUAAUCAAGUAUUACACAAUUUUAGAAACAAAAAACAAAGCACUAACUAGUUUAAUUAAUUUGGUCGGUUUCAGUUUUUGUCCAUGAAGCUUACAGCAGCAAGCAACUUCUACGACUUCAACAGAGAAACAGACACCAUAGAUACACUCCAGGUGCUUUGACUAUUUGGAGAAAUUUGAACUAUCGCAUUGCAUAGCUCAUUAAUUUUGCUUAUUAAUUAAAGCUUGCAUGCUCCUUUUAUACUUGCAAGAAUAUAAAUAUCUCAAAUUCAAGUCCCAUAUCAAUGUUGUUGGUAAACCCAAAUAUGUAUUGAUUCGUGCCACAUUAUAUAUGAUUUAGUCCAAGUUAUAUAGUUAAAAGUACCAAAUUUCAGUGCAUUUCCUCGAGUGUCUAAUGAGAAUGUUUUUUGUUUAUCAGAGAGCAAAGGCAUUUGAAGCAAUGAAGAUGCAAAAGCUAAUGAAGGAGGACUUUGAUGGGGUUCCUUCCACUCAACUUGGACCUCUUGACCAGACUUUUGGAUGCUAUCCUUCACUGCCAUUCAACACAUGAAGAUGUUCCAUGUUCCCUAAUCAAAUUUGUCCCACUUGUUAUAGCAAAUCCAAGAAAGGAGAAGAGAAUUGCCCCCACUUGAUUCUAUUCAAUUUUACACAAGCUGAUAUGAAAAUUAUACUUGCAUGAUCAUGCCUCCUCACAAAUGUAGCAAAUUAACCAAUAAUUAAUGAAGUGUACAAUCUCAUUUUUCUUAUUCCUAUGUUGCUUGAUGACACUUGAUUGGAAUGAUUUAAACAUUGAAAUGAGUGGUUGGUUCCCGACAAGUUGAUAAUGUGUAUUACAAUCUUGCCUUCCAAUCCAAUGAGUGAUUAAACACCUAAUGGCUUUAAUCAGUGGUGGACUACAACAAGAAGUCAAGAAAUGCUUACAAUGUCUUCUCAACUCAAAUGCCGACUGCAUACCACCUAAACAUGUUUUUGACUUUAAACUCCAAUAAUUUCCCAUUAAGCAUGAAAUGGGCACAACUAUUGAGCAAUAGCGUUAAAUGUUUUGUCAUUUGGUUUUGGCCUUUAUCAAAGAUUAGUGGUGAUCCUUUGCUUUCUGAUUUUGAUAGCAAUGAUUAGACUGAUGUAAUUCCUUCUUUGUCUUCGUCAAGGAAUGCCAUCACUUGUUGGAUGGAAAUAUAAUAAUCGAGGGAUUGUUGGUAAUACAUGAUAAUAAUGACUUGUAUUUUGUCAGCAUCACAGGUUAUACAUCACUAAUUCUUUCAAAUGCCUGUCAAAAAUUAUAAAGAAAGAAGAGUAAAAUAAAAACUGCAGUCAUAGUUGUGGCUCUUUCGUUCUUCUUGAAGACGUGAGAAUCAUAGAUCAAUGUCACCCAAAAAAGAAAAAAAAAGAAGAAGAUUUUUUAAUUUCCCAUCGUUUGUGAUUCAGAAUUGUCAGUCUUGGCAUAAAUUAAAGAGGUGAAAAAGAGGCCUCUUCUAUAAUUCAUUUUCUUUUAAGGUUUACAAAGAGAAGCAGCCUUUAAAUUCAUGUCUUGAGGCAUCAUAUGAUAUUAUUUACCUACUUCACCCGUUCUUGACAGAUCUUAUAAGUGUUAUGAUGUGAUGUAUCUAAUUAACUCUUUUCCUAAAACGAACCUAGUAAACCAAGCAGAUACAAUUUGUUUAAUUAAGAGAAUUAGCAUAUCAUACACGAUUUGCUAGUUUUGUCAAAUUUUAUAGAACUUACUUACCAUUUAUUUUUUGUGUUUUUUUUACAAGUCUUAAAAUUUUAUUAUUCUGUGUUUCCUUCCAAAAUAAAUUGUAUUUUUUUCCUUUCAAUUUGCCAUCUUAUGGUCAAAAUAGUUCCAAUUUCAUAAUGGUCCUUCUUUAUUUAUUUUUUUUUUGGGUUAGCCGUUAGCGAAAAAUAUAAAGAGAAGGGAGCAAAUUAGCAAAAGGGGGUUGUCAAACUCACUCACAAUGGGAAGUUUAUAAGUAAUUAAUGUAUUGUAGGUACGUGUUUUCCAAUCUUUCACUCCACGAGUCCACUAUAGACUAAGUCGAUUUUUAAUUUGUGACCCAUGGUCAUGGAGAAAUGUCACCAAAUUCAAAUCAAAUCUAAGCUUUGGUGGGUCAUCAUCCUAAUCCAGUGACAGCUACCUCAUUCCAUAUUUGAGAAUUUUCUCUCUAAUUCUGGGAACCCGAUUCUCCAUGGAUUUGUCAAUUUUUCUCCAGUGCUGGCAGCCACCUAUUCUUUUCAACAUCUACCAGUCCAACUUGACCAUUAUCAGUUAUCACGAUCAAGAUCAGCUUUUAAUAGCUUGAAAACAAGAAAGACACUGAAAACGUGAUUUGUGAAUGCAAAUAAAAAAAUCGAAAUGAAGUUGUUUGUGAAAAAUCACUUGACCUUUUUGGUUAGAUUAGAUAAGAUGGAUGGGAUCAACGAUUGCUUUAGCCUUAAGGGUGCUUCUCAGCUUUCUGCUUGCCAAUAAGCAUUCUCCACUAAUGCAUGACGAUUGAUAAUACUAAUAAUCUAUGGAUUACCUAAAUAUAUUGGUCCAACUUACUUUUCGGUAGCAAAGAAUAGCAAUUUUAUUAAUUAGAUUGUUGAAAAUCGUCCAGCACAAUUCAUUUGACAAAUUUUGGAAAAAAAAAUUUCACAGGGGUCAACAAUGUCCUCUGAUUAACUGUUAAAACUUAAAAGCCAACCGCAAGAUGCAAUAGUUCAUCAACUCCAAAUGGUUGCAAAAGCUACUCAGCAAAUGAAACAUGUAAGCAAUUAGUUUUUUCUAUAGACAGAAAGAACACACACACCCAAUUAGAUUAGAAUGCUCAGAAAGUCAUCGCCAAAUUGAGUCAGAGACUAAUCUAAGGGGGACCCACAAACCAACACCUUCCAACCAAUUGGUGACAGGAGGUGCGGUUAAUGACCUUAAACCCAGAUUCAUUAAAGAACCCAUAAUCUUUCGAUGUGGGCCCUCCCGAGCACAUCCUCGUCAAAUAAAUGGUUUGUUUUUUCCAUGGACAGAAAGAACACACACACCCAAUUAGUUAAGACGAACUAAACUAGCUUUCGUAUACUUGGACAGAAAAUUAACUUACCAAACGAAAAGUAUGUGGUUAUUAAGCAAUUAGUUAAGACGAACUAAACUAGCUUUCGUAUACUUUGACAGAAUAUUAACUUGCCAAACGAAAAGUCUGUAGUUAUUAAGUACACACGUGGUGCAAUGAGUGCCGGUAAUACAUAGCCUCUUGGGAAAAUUUGAAAAAAGAAAACAAGGCGAUAAAAAAUUCAUAAGUAGGAUAUAACUAUUAAAAAUUUUUAAAAUGCAUAAUUCAGUAUGCAUACGUGCACAUAUAUGGUUUUGAAUAUGCAUAUUCAUAUAUAUAUAUAUACAUAUAUAUAUAUAUAUAUAUAUUUAUAUAUGCGCGCGCACGUAUGUUCAUCAAAAUGCAUAUUUUUAUUUAUUAAGCUGAGUAACUGUAUAGCAGUGUUAUUGAACAAGGUACGCAUUAUUAUGAGGCUGAUCCAGUCAUUUAAUGGUAAAUUUAUUACCUAUUUAAAUGUGCGAAUAAUAGCCCAUUCCCAUUCACACAUAGUAUCUAUCAAAAGACAAGUUACGCUCUUCUUAUGACUAUUUCAUUUUCCUAUUCCCAAUUUUCAAAAAUUUCCCGUUGUGUUUCAAUUACAGUUCAAGACGCGUCACUCUGAAUCUCUCAUACGAAUUACUGAGUCUAUUAUGCCUGAUAUGAUAUAAUCAUCAGUCAUCACUCGGUUUUCUUGGUUAGUACGUCUUUGAUUCUUUACAGAAUUAUUCGCCGCAAAUGAAGUAUAUAUUCAAACGAAUAUUAGACUAAGAUUGAUUGAUAGUACUUCAUGUUGUCACAUUAACGCUCCACAGCUUCAAAUUUCAAGCAUCAUUAUUAUUAAGUUGGUAUGUUCUUCACCAGCAACAGCAAGCUUAUCUGUUAUUGGUGUUUUAAGAUGACAUCUCACUGGAAGUCAAAACAUAACUAUCAAGCAGUAAAGAAAUUGUGUGUGUUUUUUUUUUUUUCAAAACAAAAAAGUCAAUGGUUGGAAAGGAUCCGCUCAGUGUGUUAUUUGAACACUUCAAACGAGAUUCGGGUUGAACUGGAUCGAUUUUCUAAUUUAUCUAAUUUUGACAUGGUUCAGCACUACUUUUCCACGCUCCACAUUCAAGUGGAGAGGUGAAAAAAGAACGGCAAGGUUAGGAGAGACAACGAAAAAGAGCACCGGGGAGUUGAAACUUUUAAGUAAAAUUAUACAAACAUUAAUACAUAAUGGCACUCAGUUAAGAGGCCAACGGUCUUCCAUAUUUGAUUGAGCGCAUUUUCUUUCGUGGGAUUAAUUACUUGAGGUAUGACAGGUUUUUUAGUUCAUUUUAUUCCUUUACUUCAAUUUUGGAUAUUUUAAUUAUUCUCUAAAGUAUGAAAUCCGUCCUGUUUUAAUUCUUGAACUUUGAGCAUCGUUUACUUAUCAUUCUGUUAGUCUUGACAAUUUUAUGAGAUUGGUUUCAUACUUUGAGGAAUAAAAUAUUCAAGUGAAGUUUACGAACUAAACUGUGAUAGAUUCCAUAUGUAACCUACAAGUACAAAGACCAAAGUGAGAGACUGCAUCUUUAUUAUUAGUUUAAGCAGCCAAAGUAGAAUUUGCCCAAAUUUCUGACCUAAGUUGUUGACAUAGUGUGUUUUGAUCUGCACGCUUUGAUCACAUAAAACAAGUUUUAGCCCAAAAGAUAGACCGUCAAUAAUUGCAAUUCGAAAAAUUUAAACCCGUAAAGACAAAUAAUUUAUGUUAGUACACCAUGAAGGAGUGGUUUGCAGAAGUGCUUGUGUUGGACCAUUGGUUGGAUAAUUCAAUUCCAGGGCUUAACAUGUUAUUUCAUGGCCAUUUGGCUAGGUGAAUUGUUAUAUAUAAGAUAAGAUGAACUAUAUAUAUAUGAUAUAUAUAUGAGCCAUUGAACACGAUCCUCACUUAACCCAUGUUUAAAAAUUCAAUUCAUUACUUAAAUUUAAUGAAUUCAGACCUUAACAUAUUCAUACGCGUUUAAUAACAAAAAAUUGAACAUCAUUAAGUGACGCUGAAUUUUCUAGAUAAAAUUUGCUCCUAAAAUUAAGUGAUAAAUUAUUUACUUAUCACUAAAUAUAAUAUAAACUUAAAUAUAUUAGAUUUAAUACUUAAUAAUUUAAUAAUUUAAUGAAUUCAGACUUCAAGAUUUCAGAUUUCAGACUUCAAUUUUAUCAAAGGCACCUUGACUUUGGAGGCAGACACAAUUCAAACAUACCUAUUGCUUUUGUUUCUAGCAGAAAAUAGAAUGUAUAUUAUUCCAACCGAAUCCUCUAAACUUCACAUGCAUCAUGUAAUGAUGAUUUAUUUGCAUCAAAGUUUGGGAUUAACGUGAUGUCACAAUUAAUCAUUAGUUAGACCACGAUGUUGACUAUCCCCAUUAACGAAAUUCGUGAGGUAACAUGUGCAAUGUUCGCCGCGCCACAGGCCAAACCAAGGAAAAAAAAAAAAAAACACUCACAUACUUAAUUCCAAUCUUUUCAAACUCGAACGUGUUCACAAACCGAAUUCUUAAAGAUAUGUAACUUCGGACUUUUUCUUCGUUCUUCUUAUUAUCACACCAAAUUUCUCCGUCGUGGUUAUCGUUCUGGAAAGCCUUUCAUUUUUCAAAGAAUGCGGAGUCUGCGGGAAAAAAAAAAGUCUCUUAUGUAGUGGAGGUGGUGAUGAUGAUUACGGGAAAUCAGAACCUUGUUUCCUAGGAUUGGUCCCAGGAACCUAAAUAAUGAAGUUGGGAAGCAUUAUCUUACGUACUAACGUAUAAUUGAGACUUUAACAACAGCUAUAAGUUAACAACGUAUCCGUCCAGUGAUUGCUGAGAGCUCUUAGAAUUCUCUCUAUUGUCAGUUUUAGAAUUCGAAUUUUAGUUUUUAAGUUUACAUUGGAAAUCUAUGUUUAAUAGUUGAGGUUAGGGAAUCACUGAAAUUGGUCUAGUAAUUCGGAAGAACUCUUCAGGAUUUGAAUUCUAGUUUUUAGGUUCAGAAUUCGAAACCUAAACUUAAUAGUUGAGAUUAGGAAGGGUGAGAGGUAAACAAACAGAAAAAAAAAAACGUAUCACUUGUCGUGGGCCUGUUAGGACCCAAAGAUUGUGAUCAAACAUUGCUACUUGACAGUAUACCAAAAUUUGAUUGUUGGCUAAAAGACAACGAGUAAAAAUUUUCUAAAAUAAAACCGAGAGACAAUUCAGAUAAUUUAUUUAGAUGAGUUGGAGUAGUUCAAUAUCAACAGGUUUUAAUUGUUGAAUUUUGCUAAAUGAGACGUUCUCUUUAUAUUUAAAAAAAAAAAAAAAAAAAAGCUGGUUAUAACUGGGCAGGAAUUGAAACUGGCACAUGUUUGCAGAAAAAAAUAUGCUUUAUUGAUUCUUACCAAGUCAAUUGAGAUUGUUACACUAAAAUGUGCUUUACUUCCCAAAAUCCCGCAAACUAGUAAUUUCCCUGCUCGUGGAUGAAAAUCUUUGAUUGAAACUUGGUAAAUAUGAAUAGUAGCCUGGAGAGGGAUAAAACUUAAAUAAGACAAAUAAAGCAGCCUAUCUCUCCCUCUCUCUAUCCAAAAUUAGCUCAAUUUGCCUACAUAUCAUUGUUCAUAAUUCUUUUUCUUUUUUUUUUUUGAUUAAAUCUUAUAUACACUGACAAUGUAUACACUAUUAUCAUUGGAUUUAUGACACGUGUGCCAAAGUUAAAUUUUAAAUUUAAAUUUUAUAUAGUUAUCGUUCAUCCAAUGCUGACGGUGUAUACACUGUCAGUGUAAGAAAAAUUAACCUUUUUUUUUAUACUUCCAAUCUUGAAUAUAACAAUUAUUUAGAAAAAAAAAAGCUUACAUUGAAAGAACAGGUCUACAAUUCCUAUACAAAUUAUUUCUCCCAAUCUUAUUUUAUACACAUAAUGCAAAACAGACAACCCACAUGUGUUACGGGAUUUUUGGACUGUGUGCUUAAUGUCCAAAGCUCGAAAGGAAUCUCCAAAUGAUCACUGAAGUCUUUCUGUCUAAAUCUGUAUUCUACAUUUAAUCGUCCUCAUCUUGUAUGUUGCGUAAAGAAAAAUAUCACUCUGC
rnacentral:lncRNA from 1 species